rnacentral:lncRNA from 1 species
UUCAUUUCUAUCCAGCCAAGUCUCAAGUGUAGUACUACUACAUAUGUGUGCGUGUGUGUAAGCAGCACUUGCAAGUGUGCUUUGCCAUUCUGCUUGUUGCUUCGGUAGUAUACUUGAGUGCAAGUAGUAGUAGGCUAGUACCACACAGCCGCUGCCCUGUGUAGUUCAUCUCAUCCUCGACUUCGUCCGAUCCUAAGUAGCCAGCUACUCUGUACGUAGUUCGGGCUAACAAUGAGGAGCUGCAGGUGUGUAAAUUUGCAAUCAAGUUUGGCUCAACUGCGAGCAUGCUGUGUACAUUACAGAUAUCGAGUCGAUUAUUCAUAUGUAUUUCAGCGUGAUGGCCCGUUGCAGCAUAACAAUAUAUGCAUCUUCUGUGCUGUAGCCCAUUGAAUCAAUACAGAGGCCUUUUUUGUGACAAAACUGGUAAUUUGCGGAGUGAUACUGAUGAAACUUGCAAAGUUAACGGCACAGCAGAGCAGUCGUAUUACAUCAACUUAAAUAUGCGGAACUUGGACAAUGACAUAAGCAACCCUCGUUCUUUGUCCACAAACAUGUACAGAAUAUAGUGGCAGCAACGAAAGGAGAGAAACAACCGUGUCCAAAAAACAGAGCUGUGAGUAGUAGUAACAAAGUGUGUCUGCACUCACAAUUGCAAUUCAUCUCAUCAGAUCGAUCUUGAUUCCAUGGUUUUCCCCAAGAACCGAUUGUCACUUGUGAACUCCUUGUAAGAUCUCAAACUGGAGUUGCAGCUUGCUACUUCGCCUCCAUCGCAUUGAAGCCCCCAAGAUUAGCCACUCUGUCAUCCGCAGCGGUAGCCUUGCACCAGAUGAGACGCCACCAGCAACUUGAUGGCCAAUUGCAGCAUAACGGUAUAUGGAUCUUGUGUGGUGUAGUUUAUCACAUUUUGCACGUCUUUUCCUCACCUGACAAUAGAAAACAGAGCAUUAGUUAGUACACUUCAUUGGCAGAUGCAUGUUUGCAAGCUGAAAAUGACACCAGGAACCAUAAGUAUAUGGAAAUUAGCUGUGAGGUUCAUCCUGGGCGGCUAACCGCUGGAUAGCGAUGCCCAUCUGUUUGGCUUGCAACUUGCUGCAGUUUCUUAAACAAUAAACAUGGUCCACUCUAACCACGAUGAUGGCAUACAUGAUAUAUAUGCCCCAAAUGACAACAUGGCAUGCAUAAAAUGGUAAGCAUAUCAAGACUUGUGAUUUGAAUAUCUGGUAUGAAGUCCUUUAGUUUUGUGCAGUCUACUCUAAUUACAGCAGGUCAUCAGGAAAACUUAUUUUGGCUGCUUUACCCUUUUGAGAAACCAACCUAUUUUCAUUGCCUACAAAGAAUAAUAUAGGCCAUAAUCUAGUGCCAAUAUACUCAAUUAAAAGCACAAUAUGGUAGAAAAAUGGGAUAAGAGCUAUAAAUUCCCAGAAAAAAAACAAAAUAGCCAUCACCCCAGUGGAUCCUCCCCUAGUUGGCAAGUAUGAAAGUGACAUAGUUGUACCUAAGUAUCAUCUAGCCAUUAGUUUUUUUUUAUAAUUUUACCUAAACAUCAUCCAAUCAUUGAUUUCUUAGAUUAUUAUAUUGAUUAGUGAAGCGCCACACUCUGAAACUUGAAAGCUUAUGCCUGGAGCUUGCAAUUUAACUGUAGCUAAUGAAGGCAAAGUUACAGUGCUCUUAUAGUGGAACCUAUAUCAUCAGUACUGUUUGAAGGACUCGAGGUGCUUGUUUGUAGCUUUGUAACUUUCUGAAAGCCCAUGUGCAGGAGUACUAUAGUUAACUGUAUUGUAGUGGUUAACACAAAAUGCGAACAUGCACGAUGCUCAGCCAGCACCUCCGAUGAAAGUGGAUCUGAUCACAUGCAUUAGCACCAGCUCCCAAUAAUUACUUUAUUAGAUGAUUAAAGCAGAUCCUAUCCUAUGUACAUGCAUGUAGUCAGCUUAAUUGGGGUAGUGGCUCAAAUAAGUCUAUGCAUGGACUGCAGCGUGAGUUUGGAUGUAGGUAGCUGGCUCGUAGUGUCGCGAAGAUGCCAUCAAGUCAGACAAGCUUCAAAAACAACGGCAUGCCAACAAAAGGCACAAGGCAGCACGUAAAGUGCCAACCAACUGGGCUAAUAUGCACUCCUUCCCAAAACAAACUCUAAAUUAAAAAAAAAAAUCUAAUUAAAAGAUUGUAAACUUCAGGGAACAUAAUGCUGGAACUUACUCCCUCCGUUCCUAAAUAUUUGUCUUUCUAGACAUUUCAAAUGACUACUACAUACGGAUGUAUGUAGACAUAUUUUAGAGUGUAGAUUCACUCAUUUUGCUCCGUAUGUAGUCACUUGUUAAAAUGUCUAAAAGACAAGUAUUUAGGAACGGAGGGAGUAGAUGAUUGGCAAUGGACUGGCCGGUUGAUAUUUUCACACGCAGCUUAAUGUCAACGGGAAUUAUCUCAUCUGAAGCGAACGUUCAGUACUAAUGCGCGACACGAGCCUGUGAAUGUGACGUCAUGACGAUAAUGUGGAUGAUGUGACAGUGCACACGACCAUCGCGCCGUAUUGCUGUCCUAAUGUCGAUGGUUUGCACAGGUAUGCAUUGCAUUUAUUUUUUGUCCGUACUCUGUCAGUAGCAACACAAUAACCUUAUAGAAAGAUUCUGUUCCAAGCUAAUCCAGCUCAAAAGCAUAUGCUUAUAUGGCUGCCACCACACAUGCAUUGCAUCUAAUUUUAAGUAUGUAUUCAGGCUUUGUAAUUUUACAGUGCAAUACUUUGACUGAUCUCCAUGCUCACUGGCAGAUAAAGGCUUCUCGGGAUUCCGAGAACCAAAAAUCUGCCCCGACCUCUGGUUUUCUAUAACAACCAUUCGGAUGAAAGAGCGAGAAAGAAUUUAGCUCCUUAUUAAUGCGUAUCAUGUAGAGACGUAAAAUACAGUUGCUAGUGUACGAUGGAUUCAACCACGCACUGGCACUAGUAAUAAUACUUCUUUCUUGUCAGAGACAGGAUAUACAGACGUGAUUGCACAUUUCUAACUGCAGAGCCAUAGGGAUAUAAAAUCGCCAUGUAUAUUUAUCUAUAUAUAUCCAUCGAUUCCCAGUUUACAUGUGGGAGGGCUCUCUGUUCCAGCUACCAAGCACUGACCCCAACACACCCCAUCAGCUGUGCAACGACUGGUAGUUGAUGAUACAAAGGGGGAACUGAUUGAUUGAUCGAUCAAGCAGUCAAGGUAGCUGUAAAUAUAUCACAUCCAGUAUAUUUCCGUAAAUGUAAGUAAAGCAAUGGUAUUUGAUAGACCAUCUUCAUCAUUGUGUCAAACAAACCACAACCAAUUGAUCUUCAUGAUUAUACUUACACAUUUCACAUCUAAACCAUCACGACUGUAUCUAGUAUCUAUACAGGUUAUAAUCGACAGUUCAUCAUAAUUUUAUCUGAGCAGAUCUACCACGGUUGUAAUCCAAACUUAAUUCCCGUGCUGAUUUAGUAUCACGAACAACUCUCCACCAGUUUACCAUACAAACUAUCAUCGUUGGACUUGGAAUGUGAACUGUAAUCUUGCACACUGCUGAUCUAUUCUAUAAAAUACAGUGUUUGGUGCAUGAUUGAUUCGACAGCUAACAGUACAAUUCAAAGAGAAAAAAAAGUUACUCCAUCUGAUUCAUAUUACUUGUCACACAAAAGGAUGUCACUAGCACUGAAAUACGUCUAGAUACAUCCGUUUGAGCGACAAGUAAUAUGGAUCGGAGGGAGUAUGUAUGAAUGCAGCAGUACAUUUGUUGAUGCAAGUUGGGAAUGUUUAAUCAUGUAUUAAGCGUUCAAGGUAGGAAGUUGCCCAAGUCUUGUCUGGUCACACAAACUAAACCCAGGCAGGAGAAUGGAUAUAAAAUUGACCAUAGAGUGCUAGCCUUGUCUGGUCAGACAAACUAUAGGAAAAUGAUUCCAAGUUCACAUGUGGGUGGGCCCUCGGUUCCAGCUAAGCCACCGUGCAUUGAGUCUUGAGACUCUUGACUUGGUAACAUACAUUGGUUGUGGGUUGAUAUAUAAAUUCAAGCGAGAGCCCAUCAAUCUGAUAGCAAAUUAAGCAAAUGGCACCCAUGUCCUCCAACGUCAUGGAAGCCGGAGCUACACAAACCACCGAGCAGGGCCAUGGCGGAAGGGAGGCUGGCAGUGCAGCUAAAGACGAGGACUCAAAGCUGUAUGAGUUCAAGGAGCAGCUCCUGCUGCUGUCGACUCUGGUUGCAACGGUGACGUACGUUGCCGGGCUGAACCUUCCCGGGGGAUCCUGGGAGCAGGAUGACCCGGGAGGGCAUAUGGCCGGCGACCCGAUCCUUCGGGAUACCCACUACCGCCGGUACCUCGCCUUCUACUACUGCAACGCCACCGCCCUCGCCGCGUCGCUCGUGGUUUCCCUCAUACUCAUCAUCCUGCCGAAGAAGAAACAAUACUGGACACUGGUGCUGAGGAUGGUGAUGGUGCUCGACCUACUAGGCCUCAUGGGAGCCUAUGGUGCCGGGAGCUGCCGUGAUGCAUUCACGACUGUCUACGCAGCGGUAGCCUUCUUCAUUUUGGUAUUGAUCAUCAUUUAUGUUUUCUUAUACGUCUUGCUCAAUCGUGAUGAUGAGGUCCACCCCAACUCCACCCCCACUGCAACUCCAUCUCCAUCUACGCCUCCAAUUCCUACUCUGCCCACCCCAAGUCCAUCUCUAUCUCCACCUCCAAUUCCCACUCUGUCCACCCCAACUCCAUCUCCAUCUCCAUCUCCAAUUCCCACUCUGUCCACCCCAACUACAUCUCCAUCUCCAUUUCCAAACCCUGAUUCCUAUUCCUACUCUCACUCCAUCUCCAGUUCCAGCUUGAACCGUGACUCCAACCCCAAACCCAAGUUCAACUUGAACCCUCACUCCAACCCGAAACCCGAUUCUAACUCGAGCCCUGACUCCGACAUCAAACCCAACUCCAUCUUCAUCUCCAAGUCGACCUCCUUCGUCGAUGCCGUGAAGCGAGUCCAGGCAGAGAAUGAUGUGGUGAGGUCACUCGCUGACGUCAAGAUGCAAGCAGAGAAGGAGAAGAUUGAUGUGCUGAUGUUACUUGCAACCUUCGCAGUCACCAUCACAUACGUUGCUGGGCUCAGUCCACCUGGUGGGUUCUGGAGCAGCACCCAAGAUGGACACCGUUUGAGUGACCCGGUGUUACAAGCCCGUGGCCGGUACCGUGCCUUCUUCGUUUGCAACACCACUUCGUUUGCCGUGUCCCUGCUCAUCAUCGUGUUGCUCUUGGAGAAGAAACUGCUCAACAAGGAGCUGCUCAAGAAGGAGCUGCUCAAGAAGGAGCUGCUCAUUAUCACAGUUCGGUUCGCCCUCUAUGUGUUGAUUGCUGUCGCUUUGCUGGGCCUCAUGGUAGCCUAUGCUGCUGGGAGUUGCAGGGAGACUGAUAAUACUGUCUUUGUCCUUACCCUCACUGCUGUGGUUCCUAUCUGUGUGUGCCUCCAACUGGCAUUUGUUACUUGCACCAAUUGUUGGAAAAGACCCGCAACCAAGUUUGGUGAUGUCUUGGGAUGGUUCAAGACUCCUCGAGGUAUGGCUGACUACCUACCUACCUUAUGUUACUCUGGUUAUGGAAGCUUGAUUAUCAUUUUCGAUUUUGGGGAUUUCGGCAUGCAUAUGGAUAUGAACGUGGUCAAUAUAUCAACAACACAAUUUUGACUGUUAAAUUUCUGUUGCUUAGAAAAUCUAACAAAACUAUGUAUAUACAUGUAUAUUAAUUUUGCAUUUUAAGGGACCAAUUUAUGUGCACGUGAUGAUUUUCAAGUACCGCAAUCUAUGUAUUUGUUUUCAAGUAUACAAUUUUCUGGAUAUAUCUGUUAUUUGGUUGCAUGGCUAAUUUAUUGAAAAUAAUAUAGUAUCAGUAUUACCAUCCUAGUAUACAAUGUUUUGAUUUAUUUACUAUUUAUUUGCAUGAUUAAUUGACUGAAUAAAUAUUCACAGGCACCUCCACAAGCACGGACAUCCAGCUACACAUUCAUAACACCCGCUAUCUUGUUAUGCUCCUUGCUACUCUUGUGGUGACCAUCACUUACCAAGCAGGACUAGAUCCGCCUGGUGGCCUGUGGCUAGAUAGCCAGGAUGGGCAUACAAUCGGCCACCCGGUGCUCCAAACGACACAUCCUACUCGAUACCAAGUGUUCUUCUACAGCAACUCCGCAGCUUUCGUCACAUCCUUGGUCGUCAUCAUGAUGCUCCAGAGCAAGUAUCUGCUCACACGGCACACACUUGAAGCAGCCCUAGUACUGGACCUAUUUGGCCUCAUUACUGCCUACGGUGCCGGAAGCACCAGGGACGUAAACGCGUCCUUCUACAUCAUCGCCUUGGCAGGCAUUGUCCUCGUCUAUGUCAUUGUCCAUAUCACAAUAAUAGACCAUGCCCCUGAGCCAGAGGGUGGCGAUGUUGCAGUAAAGCAUCUCGAUGACAAACGCAAGGUGCUACUGUUGGUUGCUAUCUUGGCCGCUACCCUCACAUACCAAGCUGGUCUCACCCCGCCUGGUGGCUUCUGGUUAGCAGAUGACCAAGGGCAUGGUCGUCGUGCGGGCUUCCCAGUCCUUCACGACAAUUACCCUCGUCGUUACCAUGCAUUCUUCUAUUGCAAUGGGGCGAGUUUCAUGGCAUCCGUAACACUCAUCCUUCUUCUUGUCAAUCCAAAGCUAUACAGGCCAGGUAUACGUUGCUAUGCGCUCUAUGUGUGCAUGCUGGUGGGCAUGGUUGGCCUCAUGGGUGCCUAUGCCGCUGGAAGCUCCCGGCAUCUUAAAACCUCCAUCUAUGUAUUAUCCUUGGUUGUCGCAGUGUCAGUCUUCAUAGCCUUGCUGGUACCCCUUUUCCGGUACAUCUGCAAAGACAACAGCACCAACAAUAUCGCCAUUCCUGCCACCGCCACCACCGCCCCCAACAAUACCAGCAAUGCCGCCACCACCAUCAAUGCCACCGCCACCGCCAACAAUAUUGCCGCCGUCGCUGCUGCCACUUCCACCACUACCAUCAUCACUACCAAGGAGAACGAUAAACUUGAAUACUUGAUGUUGCUAGGAAUCUUGGGCGCAAGUAUGACAUACCAGACUGGCCUAAAACCACCGGGCGGCUUGUGGCAGGACAACACCAAUGGACACUCUGCUGGCAACCCCAUCCUCCACGACAUCAACAAGCACCGGUACAAUGCUUUCUUCUACAGCAACUCCACUUCCUUUAUGGCCUCAAUCGUGGUUGUCGUCAUGCUUCUUCCAUUGACAAUUCAAAAGAAGUUUCACGGUCACAAUCUGCCACUCUGGCCGAUGCACACGGCCAUUUUACUGGACAUGAUUAGCCUCCUGGUGGGCUAUGCAGCAGGCAGUACUAGGAAGUGGGAAACCUCCAGACAUGUCAUGUUCCUCAUCAUCCCUGUGUUGCUCUACAUUGCGGUCUAUGCAUUAGCGUCAAUCUUCUACCACAGGAAGAAACAACGUGUGUUGGAAAGGUCAACCCUGAUUCUACCCCAACUGGCAGAGUCAAGUGAUUCUUUGUCAGGUCAAAUUCAGUAGUUCAAUUUUUGGGGAACAAUAUACAGAAACUUGUGGAAGGAACUGAAUAUGUAAUUUUGGGACAGAGUUUAUGAGAUAUUGAGCACCAUAUCUAUAUUUGAGAUAUAUUGAGUUAUUUAUUUAUAUGUUUAUUCAUGCUUUGGCAUUCCUUCCGCUCGCCGGAGGGCUCCCUUUUGUUUGUUGGUCCUAUUUAAUUUACAUGUUAACCCAUGGACAUACCUCAGUUUGAUGUCAGGCUGCAUAUAUAACCAAAAUGCAUGACAGAAUGACAAUGCUGACCAGUUCAGCAACUCAGCAUAACUGCUGCUCUUACAACUCCAUGAUUGCCAAGAAUAAGUUCUUGAAGAUCCAAAUAUCAGUCGAAUCCCCUAACCAGAUUUCUUAAGGUUUUUUUUUGGAACAAACAUCUUCUCUGUUCGGACAUGAAAGAUACAGCCGAGUUUUAGCUACCCGCUUAUCUUGAAGGUCUGCGUGGGGUUCCAUGUCCUCUUGAUCCGUGGUGGGUGCAAGCGUGUGUUGGUCGAUGACGUCUUUGCUGUUGUGCCCACAGACACAUGAAUGGUAGGUUUGCUUCAGAAAACCACAAAGCUCUGCUCUGUAUCUCAGUCAGUCUGCUGAUUGCUCAAUUUAGCCUGCAGGCUCCCGGUCUGAAACUAUCGACAGUUGAAAUGGGGAAACAUGGUCACAGAUUAUCGAUGGAAAAUGCUGCUCGUUGCAAAAUAAAGCUAUGGAUGUCUGGUACCACCACGAGGCCUUUUUGCUGGUAAACUGUAAUUUGCAAAGCGAGACUGAUGAAAUUGCAGAGUUAAUGCCAUGUAUGGUAGGGGUGUUAUUUCAUCAAAUCAAAUUGGCUGAACUUGGAUAACAAUAUGUUUUAUCCUCAUUCUCCGUUUACAAACAAGCACAAACAUAGUGGCAGCAACAGAUAGAGACUACAGAGCAACUAAUCUUCAAAAACACUUCGGUUUCUCUCCUUCCAGAGAUGCCAGGCGAUGUAAGCCGCCAAAGUUAAACCAGCCUCAAUCCUUGCAGGCGCACCGCUGUGCGUGCAAAACAUCCUCCAGCCUCAAUCCUUGCAUUGAGGCCCCCUCUCCUUUGCCAUCCGCUGCAAAGAAGUAUCAGGAUUCAUCUCAGUUAGCUUCACCUUUGGCAUGUCAGAGGCCACCAGCAGCGAACUUGGAAAGCUGACCCUGAUGGCCUGUUGCAGCAUGUCAAUAUGUCCAGGUUAAUUAACAGAGGCAUCUCGUAUGGUGUAGUACAUUGCAUUUUCCUCCACCUGAGUAAGACAGAGCGUUGGUUCAUUUCAUCAGUACCUGCAUGUUAACAAGAUGAAAACGGUGCAGGAACUGUAAGCAUAUGGAAAAUCUUAAAUGGCAACACCGAGAAGGAUCUGUAGAUGCACUGUCCAGUUAUCAUUUUAUCAGUAUGAUCGCUUCAUGGUUUGAACCUCAGAUGCAAAAGGCGUCCUGUGGUCCUGCCUCGGAAAGGGAUCCCGCAGCUUGCAAAUCCACUUCAGAAACAUUCAGUGUCCCAGGUUGUCCCAAGUUGAGAAAUUUUAACUUCCUGUAAAAUGUGGUGACAAAGGGGAAUUAUGUGAGGCAAUCACUCGGUGCGACGUCAGGCUGUGCCUUACGAUGAUAAUGCGGAUGACACCGUUGCUGCGGCAAAUGUGACAUCAUCAUGGAUGACGUGGCAGUACACACUGUCACCGCACUGUAUUGCUCUCCUAAUGUCAACGGUUUGAACAGGUAUGUCUUGUAUUAAUUUUGUGACUGUAUGCUGUCAGUAGCAACACAAUAGCCUUAAAAAAAGAUUCUGUUCCAAGCUAAUCCAGCUCCAAAAGCAUAUGCUCAUAUGCUCAUAUGGCCACCAGCCCACCACACACAUCGUGUAAGUAUUCAGGCUUCAUAAUUAUUUACAGGGCAAUAGUUUGGCUCUUCUCUGUGCAUCACUGGUUGGUACAGAUAACGGCUUCUCAGGGGAAUUCCGUGAAUCAAAAUUCCGCCAUCCUCUGGUUUCCAAUCAUAACCCUUCGAAUGAAACAGUGAGAGAAAGAAUUGAGCUUCUUAUAAAUGUAUAGAGAAGUAAAAUACAGUAGUUCGUGCACGAUAGAUUAAACCACACGCUAGUAAUAAUACAUUUUCCUGGUCAGCGACAUGACGAUAUAUGAACGUUAUCGUACAUUUCUAACAGCAAGUUGGGACUUGGGAGUAGUUCAUGAUACUUAAUCAUGUAUUGUGGGGGUCAGAUCUUUCUCUCUCUCUCUCUGUCUCUCUGAGAAGCCAUAGGGAUAUAAAAUUGCCAUGUCUCUUUCUCGGAUUACAUACAUAUGCAAACUGUACUUAUCUAUCAAUAUAUAAUCCAAUUGAUUCCAAGUUUACAUGCGGGAGGGCCCUCUGUUCCAGGUUUCCAGCUACCCAGCACUGAUCCCAACACACCCCAUCAGUUGUGCAACGAUUGGUAGUUGGUCAAUCGACCGAGCACAAUCCUCCUCCACAGUUAUAUAUUGCAAAACAAAUGGUGUCCAAGUACGAGAACGAGGCACCAGUACCAGCACAGUCGCCGAUAGUUCGCCAAUUCACUGGUUAGGGGCACCAUUUGGAUACGCUUCACUAGCAUGGGCGUUGGUUCUCUGUGGUAACCUGUAGAGGAGUUACUUAAUUGUAUAUAUCUAAAUAAGUCCUCAUCCAGUAUGUUUUCCUAAAUGUUACUAAAGCGAUGAUAUUCAGCAGACCAUCUUCAUAGUAAUUGUUUCACACCCAAUUGAUUCGUAAUAGUAUUUAAACAUGUCACAUCUACAAAUAAGAACUGGUGUGUCUUUCUAACUCUAUCUAUACAGAUAAUAGUGGACGGAUCAUUAUAGUCUUAUCUAAGCAGGUCUACCUCGGUUGUAAUACAAACUUAAUUCCCAUAUACUGAUCUAGUAUCACGAACAAAUUUUCUACCCGUCUAAAAUUCGAUUGAGUUGGCAGUCUGAACUCUGAACUAUAUAAUCUGGCAUACUGAUCUAUUCUAUAAAACACAUUGGUUGGUGCAUGAUUGAUUCGAGUGCACUAAUAGUACAAUCCAGCGACAAUUUUUUUUAUGUAUGAAUGCCGCUGCACAUUUCUAAAUUCUAACGCAAGUUGGGCGUGCUUAAUUAUCUAUUAGGCGAAGAAGAUAGGAGGUUGCCGAGUCACACAAACUGAUAACUAGACAAGAAGAUAUAAAAUUGACCGUCAGGCAUCGAAUGUUAGUCUUGUCUAGUCACACAAAAUAUUGGGCAAUGAUUCCAUGUUCACAUGUGGGCGGGCCCACAAUUCCAGCUAAGCCGCCGUGCAUUGACUCUUGACUUGGCAAUACACAUUGGCUGUGGGAGUGUGGGAUGAUAUAUAAAUUCAGCCAGAGGCCUUCCAUUUGAUAGCAAAUUAAGCCAAUAUCUACCAUGGCCACGAACGACCUUCCUGUCGAUGGCAAGCCUUGUGCAGACUCAAAGCUGUAUGAGUUCAAGGAGCAGCUCCUGCUGCUGUCGACUCUGGUUGCAACGGUGACGUACGUUGCCGGGCUGAACCUUCCCGGGGGAUCCUAGGAGCAGGAUGACCCGGGAGGGCAUAUGGCCGGCGACCCGAUCCUUCGGGAUACCCACUACCGCCGGUACCUCGCCUUCUACUACUGCAACGCCACAGCACUCGCUGCGUCGCUUGUGGUCUCACUCAUCCUCAUCAUCCUGAAGAGGAAGGACCAUGUUUGGACAGUGGUGCUGCGGGUGGUGAUGGUUUUGGACCUGCUCGGCCUCAUGGGCGCCUACGGUGCCGGGAGCUGCCGGGAUGCGUUUACAACCAUCUACGCGGCGGUAACCUUCUUCCUUUUGGUAUUGAUCAUCAUCUCUGUUUUCUUGUACGUCUCGCUCAAUGGUGGUGGUGAGGAUAACUCCAACUCCAGAAACAAUUCCAGCUCGCUCUCUGACUCCAACUCCAAUUCCAUAUACGAUCGUAAAUCGAACCCUGAUCCCAACUCCAUCCCCAUCUCCAUUUCCAAAUCAAAUCCUGAAUCCAACUUGAACUUGGACACCAAGAAAGAAGGAGAAGAUCAAUGUGUUGAUGUUACUCGCAACCUUUGUCGUCACCAUCACGUACGUAGCUGGGCUGAACCCGCCCGGUGGGUUCUGGAGCAGCACCCAAGACGGACACCGUUUAAGCGACUCGGUGUUCAAUCUAACGAGAAGGUUGCACGUCUUUUGCGAGAAGAGGAGAUCAAAUACUACCAGAGAUCCAAAGCUGACUUUAUCUUGAUGGGUGAUAGUAAUACAAAAUACUUCCAAUUGAUCGACAAUAGGCGGCAUAGGAAAAAAUGUAUUUACAGUCUCCAACAAGAUGAGGGGCGGAUCGAAGGACAGGAGGAGCUCAAGAAGUAUAUCACCAAGUACUACAAAUCUUUGUUUGGAGCGUCAGUUGAAGGGAACUUCACCCUUGACGAGACCCGAACGGAUGAUAUUCCACAAGUCACGGCAGAAGAAAAUGAUAUCCUAACGGCACCAUUCUUGAAAGAGGAGGUGAGAGCGUCGGUGUUCCAAAUGGAACAUAACAAAGCUCCGGGGCUAGAUGGUUUCCCCGCAGAAUUCUAUCAGAAUUUUUGGGAUAUCAUCAAGACCGACCUUUUGGAUUUGUUCAAUUGUCUUCAUGCCGACCAACUAGACCUAUUUAGACUUAAUUUUGGCGAGAUUGUCUUGUUGCCCAAGAUUAAGGAGGCCGAACGGAUCCAACAGUUCAGACCCAUAUGCCUCCUUAAUGCUAGCUUCAAGAUUUUCACCAAAGUGGCCACAAAUAGGUUAAACUCGGUAGCUGAUCAUGUUGUUCGGCCAUCUCAAACGGCGUUCAUGCAAGAAAGGAAUAUACUCGAUGGCGUAGUAAUUUUGCAUGAGACUGUUCACGAGAUGCACCGGAAAAACAUGAGUGGCGUAGUAUUCAAAAUUGACUUUGAAAAAGCCUAUGACAAGGUCAAAUGGUCUUUCCUCCAACAAGCCCUAAGAAUGAAAGGUUUCUCCGAUAAAUGGCGUCAGUGGAUCCAAAAUUUUAUAACUAGAGGUAGUGUGGCCAUCAAAGUCAAUGAUGAUGUAGGCCAUUACUUUCAGACAAAAAAAGGACUACGACAGGGUGACUCCAUGUCUCCAAUGUUAUUUAACAUUGUUGCUGACAUGUUGGCUAUUCUGAUUGAGCGUGCUAAGCAGGACGACCAGAUAGAAGGAGUAGUGCCACAUCUUGUGGAUGGUGGCCUCUCUAUUCUGCAAUACGCCGAUGACACAAUUCUUUUUAUGGAACAUGACCUAGACAAGGCUCGAAACCUAAAACUCUUGCUCUCAGCGUUUGAGAAAAUGUCGGGUCUCAAAAUUAACUUCCAUAAAAGUGAACUUUUCUGCUUUGGAGAAGCCGUUGAGGCGGCUGCCGAUUAUGCUGACCUCUUUGGUUGCGCACAUGGCCAAUUCCCGAUUAAAUAUUUGGGAAUACCGAUCCACUACCGGCGUCUCACCAUUGCAGAGUGGAAGCAUGUAGAGGAGCGUCUAGAGAAACUAUUGAGCAGUUGGAAAGGCAAGCUGCUCUCAGUUGGAGGACGGCUGGUUUUGAUUAACUUCGUUCUCACAAAUACGGUUCUCUAUAUGCUUUCUUUCUUCCAACUCCCCAAAGGGGUCCUGCAAAGAUUGGAUUAUUUUAGAUCCAGAAUUUUUUGGCAAGGAGAUGGAGAAAAGAAAAAAUAUCGGUUGACCAAAUGGAGCAUGGUUUGUAGGCCAAAAGACCAAGGCGGCCUUGGAAUUCAUGACCUACAGGUCAAGAAUGAGGCCUUGCUCAGUAAAUGGUUGUUCAAACUUCUUACUGAGGAUGAUGUUUGGCAAACCAUGUUGCGCAACAAGUAUCUAGGCCAAAAGGCAGUGUCCCAGGCAUAUUGGAAACCUGGUGACUCGCACUUCUGGGCUGGCCUAAUGGCGGCAAAGAAACGUCUCUUUCGCUUUGGGUCUUUCGCGGUAAAAGACGGGUCGGAGAUUCGAUUCUGGGAAGACAUCUGGCUAGGCAAUGCCAGUCUCAGAGAACAAUAUCCAGCCUUAUAUAGCAUUGCUCGUGAUAAGAACAACACUAUUGCGCACGUGCUCAGUUCAUCCCCGCCGAACAUUUCGUUUAAGCAGGAUUUGAUUGGCCCCAGACUUAUGUCAUGGCAUAAUCUUUUGUCCCGGUUGGAUUCGAUUAACCUGACACAAGGUCGGGAUGUGUUUCGCUGGAACCUUACUACAUCAGGGUCAUUUACAGUAGACUCUAUGUACCGUGCGCUCACACAUUCUGAGGUACCAGUGAGUAAUAACAAAAAAAAUUAGAAGUCCAAGAUUCCACUAAAAGUGAAAAUUUUCAUGUGGUAUCUUUGUAAGGGAGUUGUGUUGACCAAACACAACCUCGCACGAUGCAACUGGCCAGGGAGUAAGAAGUGUUGUUUUUAUACUCAUGACGAGACAAUCAAAUACCUCUUUUUCCAAUGCAAGUUUGCACGUUCUACGUGGUCAAUCAUCCAAAUAGCGUCAAAUUUAUAUCCGCCCACAAGUGUUGCCAAUAUAUUUGGUCACUGGUUGGACGGUAUUCCAAAUAGGUUUAAAGCGCUUAUAAGGGUGGGAGCGUACGCCUUAAUUUGGUCGCUCUACCUAUGUAGAAACGAUUUGGUUUUUAAUGGAAAAAAUGCUUCUCCUAUGCAGGUUAUUUUCCGUCGUACGCACUCGCUUCAUACGUGGUCUAUGCUACAACGACCGGAGCACCAAUCGCUGUUCAAGGCGGUGUGUACGUGGUUGGAGCAGGUGGCUACGGAGGUUUUUUCCCAGCAUGGGUGGCAGCAUAACCUCCGAAUCGAUCCACCACCACCUUUGACAUAGGCAUAGUGUCGGUCUAUAGGACUUUACUGUUGCCGAUAUGUCGGUUUAUAUUUCAUAUUUUUUUGUCAGGCUUUUGGAUUUAGCUGUGUGCAUCUCAGUUAUGCAGAGGCCGGGUGUUACUCAUAAUGUUUUGUAUCUCCCUGAUGCUACAUUCUGAGAUAAUAAAAUCGCCCUUUAUCAAAAAAAGCGACCCGGUGUUACAAGCCCGUGGUCGGUACCGUGGCCUUUUCGUUUGUAACACCACUUCAUUCGCCGUGUCACUGCUCAUCAUCGUGUUGCUCUUGGAGAGGAAGCUGUUGAAGGACAAGCUAAGCAAGAACUUCACAGUGCGAUUCAUGGCGCCCUACGUGUGGAUCGCCGUGGCUCUAUUGGGCCUUAUGGGGGCCUAUGCUGCAGGGGGCUGCAGGGAAGCUGACAAUACCACUCUUGUCCUUGCGGUCCCUGUCGGCGUAUGCCUACUGCUGUGGUUUGUUACUUACAAAAACGGCUGGGAACAACUCACGGCCAAGCCUCACAAAACCGGCUGGGAACAACUCAUGGCCAAGCUUCAUGAUGUUUCCAAAAAUUUCAAGAAGCUGUUCAACAUUCUUAAAGGUAUGGCUCCCAAUAUUUCCAAACUAGUGUGUCUAAUAGUUAUUCUACACCAAUACUAAAAAUUUAUUUGAAAUAUCUUAAAUUAUGUACACGAUAUGUUGUAAUUUUGAUUUCUUUAAUAUCCAAGUAACAUAUUUUUUUACUACAUCAUUCAAAAAUUAUUAUAUCGUGUGCAUUAUUUUACAAGAUAUUGUAUCAUAAACAUAUAUUUACGCGCUCUGUUGGAAUAAUUGUGCGUGUUGGUUGGAAUCCCUUAAUGAGUUUUAUUUUUGUGCUUGAUUUUAGGACAUCCUACACAUACAUUUGCUAGCCCACUCAAUUUGAAUUAUCGUUUUUUCAUCAUGAGAAUAAGUUGACUCUUACUUCUACAAUCGUCCAUGAUUUAAAUUGCAACCAAUCCCCUUUUAUUAUAAAGACAAGGAGGGCACAUCACUCACUCCUCUAUCCAACUAUAACCCAUGCAAGUGAUUACAAGUAAAAGAUUUCCUGCUUUCUAGAAUAUGGUGUGAUCAAGCACACAGUAAAUGGAUGUCUACGGAAUACUAAACAUGUUUAGAUAGUAGUUAUUUUGGAAAAAUAUUGAUGUUUCCAUACAAGAAGUGUCAGUAAAAGCAUUACUGUGUAGCAGUAAACUUUCCAAAGCUUUUAACUAUCCAAUUAGGAAAAAUGGUGGUAAAAGUUAUUUGUGGAAUUGGUAAUUUGUGUGCACCGUUUUACUGCAAGCUGGUGGAGAUUAGCACUCCUAUUAUAUACAGGCAUAUUAAUUGUCAGAACACUCUGAGAGACCAAUUUAUGUGCAUAUGAUGAUUUUCGUGUACGUAGAUACAUAGUAUUUUAAAUAUACAAAAUUAUUGAUUUAUUUACUAGUUGGUUACAUGUCUGAUUGAUUGAAAAUAAAUAUGCAGGCGGCUGCGAAGGCACGAAUGAACAACAUGAACAAAAUACCCGCUAUCUUGUUAUGAUCCUUGCUACUCUUAUUGUGACCAUCACCUACCAAGCAGGAUUAGAUCCACCCGGAGGCCUUUGGCCAGACAACCAGGAUGGGCACAAGAUGAGCCACCCAGUGCUCUAAAUGACACAUCCUACUCAGUACAGGGUGUUCUUCUAUAGCAACUCAGCAGCUUUUGUCACAUCCUUGGUCGUCAUCAUGAUGCUCCAGAACAAGUUUCUUCUCAACCGACACACACUGGAAGCAACCCUGGUGCUGGACCUAUUCGGCCUCGUUACUGCCCAUGGUGCUGGGAGCACUAGGGACGUAAACGCAUCCUUCUACAUCAUUGCCUUGGCGGGCAUUGUCCUCGUCUAUGUCAUCGUCCAUAUCACCAUAAUAGACCAUGCCCCUGAGCCGGAGGAUGGCGCUGCUGUACUGAAGGAUCUUGAUGACAAGCGCAAGGUGCUACUGUUGGUUGCCAUCUUGGCCGCUACCGUCACCUACCAAGCUGGUCUCACCCCACCUGGUGGCUUUUGGUUAGCGGAUGACCAAGGGCUCGGUCGUCGUGCAGGUUUCCCCGUCCUCUCCAACAAUUACCCUCGCCGUUACAAUGCAUUCUUCUACUGCAAUGCGACGAGCUUCAUGGCAUCAAUAACCCUCAUUCUGCUCCUCAUCAAUCCGAAGCUAUACAGGCCAGGCAUACGUUGUUAUGCGCUUUACGUGUGCAUGUUGGUGGGAAUGUUUGGCCUCAUGGAGUCAUGGGUGCCUAUGCUGCUGGAAGCGCUCGACAACUGAAGACUUCCAUCUAUGUAUUAACCUUGGUUGGCAUGGUCUUAGCCUUUAUAGCCUUUCUAGUAGUGAUUUGCUGGUUCAUCAUCAAGUCUGAAGCCAGCAGUAAAGAUGGGAAAGAUGAAGCAGCUCAUAGUAAUACUGACAAAAGCAUCAGCAGCAGCACCAGUACUACCACACCAGCAUCAGCACUAGUGUCGCCGCUGCCGACACCACCACCACCACCAUCAUCACCACCACUGUCACCAGCACCACCACAAGCAACAACAAUGGCAGCAGCAGCAAUAGCAACACCACAAGCAGCAGCAGCAAGGACAAGAAUGAUAAAGCGAAAGAAACAGUUGAAUACUUUAUGUUGCUAGGAAUCCUGGCUGCCAGUAUGACAUACCAGAUUGGCCUAAAACCACCGGGAGGCCUGUGGCAAGACAACAACAAUGGACACUCUGCUGGCAACCCCGUCCUCCACGACAUCAUCAAGCGUCGGUACGAUGUUUUCUUCUACAGCAACUCCACUUCCUUUAUGGCCUCAAUCGUUGUCAUUGUCCUGCUCCUUCCAUGGACGAUGACCCACAAACGGAAACCGCCACUCUGGCUAAUGCAUAUGGCCAUUUUGCUGGACAUGCUUAGUCUCCUAGUGGCAUAUGCAGCAGGCAGUACUAGGAAGUGGGAAACAUCCAGAAACGUCAUGUUCAUCAUCAUCCCCGUCUUGUUAUACAUUGCAAUCUACGCAGCUGCGUCAGUCCUCGUCCCGAAGGAAGGCCGAAGUUGCUGGACAUGCUUGACCACCUGGUACCGUACGUGGCAGGAAAACAGGAAGCAGCUUACACAGUCUUCUUCCACAGGAAAGACCGUUGUGGCAGUGUGAACCUUGAACCCCAAUGCUAUAAUGAUAAGUGCACGACAAACCUGAUGUCAUGUGAUUCUUUGUAUAAUCCCCAGGAAACAUGUUGGAGGAACCACAUGUUUGUAGAUCCUUGUCUAAGUUCAUGAGGAAUUGGAUCCAAGUGAUGUAGCUAGGCUCAACCACGAUCACAGUGUGUAUAUUUCAGAUCCCAUAUUUUGGUAUUGGGACAUCUGGGAGGGACUAGUUUGUAGCAUCUGUUUUCAGAUAGUCCCUAAGUGGUGUUUGUAGCAUCUGUCUAUCUAUUCGGUAUUGUGAAUGACAUUCUAUGUAUGUACUGGUCUAGUAUCAUGCACAAAAGACAUAUAUGGUCACUAGUCUGGUGUUCUUCCGAUCAAAAUUGUGCACCGCACAUUUGCUAGUAACUCGGGAAGCAAUUUAAUCAGUUGGUAUGUGCCAGUUGUAGCUGAUAAGCCUCUACAUUUAACAAAUACCACCAGCUGGGUAGCUGGAUGUCAUCUCAUCUCAACAUUGCAAGUUGUUAUAUAUAUCCAUUUGGAAUCUCACUGAGCAUCCUGAUUUGACAAAUAUAUCUGUUGUACACACAUGAGCGUUAAUCAUUUGGCAGCUGAACUAUCGCAGUUGACAUCAUUAAGCUAGGUUAUAGCCAGCAAUUCAUUGUGAGAAUUGACUUGGAUUUGUUAAGCGAGUCUCGACCAAUGAAGCCACCGUCUUGGCUGCUGGCUGGGUCUGGCUUGUUCUUAGUUUUGUACAGGCAGAAGUUAGCUGUACAAAAUUUAUUUACAUGAAGAGCAGCUCACUUUGAUGGCCUCAAUUUGGCCCAAAAUGAGUAGAAAACGUAGCUGUCUAGUUUCAUCUCUUGUUUUCUGGCCCUUCUUUUCUUUGCUUCACUGUAAGUGCAGGAAAUUGAUACACGCAUGAUCUAUAGGUCUGCAUUUGUUUAACAUAUAGCCCGCCUCUAACGUCGAUAAAUCUGAUGGUACCUUCAUGUUCUCAGCAAGCAAAAGAAGGAAAGAAAAGGGAGGACGUGCAUUUCCAAAAGCAAAAGAAAAUGCAAAUUUUAACAUGGCCCCUUUUACAUCCUCUUUUUACAUGUGAGAUAAGAUGGUAAGAGUUAAUCAUGCCACUAAUUAAUGAGAACAAUAGCUCAGAUAUACUCCCUCCGUCUCAUAAUGUAGAAUGUUUUUUUGACACUAGUGUAGCGUUAAAAAACCUCCUACAUUAUGGAAGGGAGGGAGUAUUUUAUAUUCUUACUUCUCAUGUGAAAAGGGAAGGUAAGAGGACCAUGUAAAAACUGCUCGUUUUCUUACAAAUAGCGUCCCAGAAAAGCGACCAUAAAUGGUGUUUUUGUUGUGAUAGAGAGCAGUUGUUUUUUUUAAAAGGAGGAUGUACCCCCGGCCUCUGCAUCUGGAUGAUGCAUACAACCAUAUUAUUAAUUACUAGAAGAACGCCCGUGCGUUGCAACGGGGCCACAUUAACUUUAAGAGUUCAAUAUUAAUUAUGUUAAUAAUACAUUUAAUAUUUUCAUACAUAUCAAGUGACACUGGCGAACUUUUUUGUCAAUUUAGCAACGGGCUCAGUUGCAACGGGCUCUUUAUACAUAUCAGACAACUCGCUACUACUUAAACUACAACUAUGGCUACCAAUAUAUUUUUGUCAAUUUAGCUCAGCAAUAGUGCCUGGCUUAAUAGACUGCUUUGCAUUCACCCCCUCAAAAAACAGAGAGAACCAACUCAACAUGUCAGAAAAUUAACAGAAAUUUCAUUUGUAUGGCAUGAACAUAUAGCAGGAGCACCAACACAUAAAUCAGCAGAGAGCAGAGCACAUCAUGCACACACUCGGGCCAUCUAUAUCAUACACACACAGCAACACACACACGCAUCACGCUGGCAUACACAUACAGAAAAGCAGGCACACACGCAUCAUGCGCAUUGGCCGGUGCGACGCACGCAGAGCAAGUACGUACGCACGGAGAGCAAGCUAGCAAGCACGCACGCGUCCAACCCCGCCGCUGCAUGCGCUGGCAGAAGGUGAGGCAGCAAGGGAGACUGCACAUUGAAGCUGCCCAUGCAAGGCUGGAGGUGCUGGGCCGGCGACGGCGGUGUCGGGACGGCGCUUGAUUCGUUCCCGGUGGCGUGGAGCUUGGGGCAGCAACGCGCGAUAGCUACUGCUCGGGAUGGGGGUUUGGGGCGGGGGAAGUCGACCCGAUGGUUGGCGAAGUUAACGGGCUCGGGCGGCUGGAAAUUCGGCGGGUGGCGGUGGCACAGCGCGAGGAUGGGACAGGCGGAAAACCUAGCGGGCGUUCAACUACCAAUACCCACGCCUUUUUUUAGGGGAAUUGCUUGUGAAAAUAACGUGCGACGACGACUUAGCGAGCGGAUCCCCUUAAAAAAGACAUAGCGAGCAGAUUCCAUUAAAACUGGUAGGAAUGAAUACGAUUGAUGACGUUGAUAAAUAGUGGUGAAUGUUGGCCUAAUUUACUAUCAUCAUGCAUGGAAACGAAUCAUCAAGAAAAAGAAUACUUCCUAUUACUACACUCAUAGGAAGCUUCCUAAUCUCUGCUACCAAACAGUUUCUGCCCAAACAAGGAAGGAAAGUUAUGGACGUGAUUCGAAAGGAAACAAACGUUAUGAAGAUUAAUUAAUUUAGAUUUGAUCUUUAGAGAUUGAUUGUGAUUGAUUCUUUUACAUAAAGACAUUACUAAAUAAUUUGCGUCAGUAUGGAAAGUUUUGAUCUGUUCAGUUUUUUUUGUUGUGUGAGAGGGUGAAGUGAAAAUAAACCGAUGAAGUGGGGGAGGCGACGAAAAAAAUCUACGACGGUUAACCUAUGAAAAAAAACCGGUCGAAAGUGGUGGGACGAAAAAAAACCUGGAAGCGAGACUACCAACUGCUCCAUUAGGAGUAGAGAUUCACAAAGACCAUACAAGGUGAUACAUCAAUAAGCCUGAAGCCACCAUCUUGGCAACACCGUUGCUACUCCUAUCCCGUUGAUGAAGGCAUGCCGAAUGUCCGGGCCUAAUACCAAAUAGACAUCGCACCAAAGUCUAACAUCUAAAGCCGGGUGUCCCAUCAAAGCCACUACCUGAAUUGGGUCCCACACCGGUCUGGCACACUCCCAGUGAGCACCGCACGCUGCAAGGGCUGUCACCUCCAUCUCCCUCAGUCCAUCCUCAGAGUAGAACCAAUGCAUUGACCUUGCUAGGCCUCUCUGCCAUCAACGCCACCAUGACGCCAGAUAACUUCCUCCUCCUGCACGAGUCCAUCUCCAAUACGCGCCCAUCGCCGAACCUCCGCGGCGCCAUGCCGCAAGGAUCCGCCGUCGGCCUUGCGGUAGAUGUAACACCGCUCCUCCUCUUGUCCCCUCCAGCCAGCACGUGCUCCAAAACGAUGCCCCUAGGAGGGACAACGACAUCGAAGGUCCCAUCAUCGUCCGAUCCGGUAGGACCCAGAUCUAGGGUUUCCCACGGAGAAUCAUGAGUGGGGCGCCAUGACCUACAACAAUGAUGCCUCUAGAACGGAACGACGUCAUCGACGCCGCCAUUGUCCGCCAUGACCGUAGUCAGCGCGAUUUUCACCGAGAUCNNNNNNNNNNNNNNNNNNNNNNNNNNNNNNNNNNNNNNNNNNNNNNNNNNNNNNNNNNNNNNNNNNNNNNNNNNNNNNNNNNNNNNNNNNNNNNNNNNNNNNNNNNNNNNNNNNNNNNNNNNNNNNNNNNNNNNNNNNNNNNNNNNNNNNNNNNNNNNNNNNNNNNNNNNNNNNNNNNNNNNNNNNNNNNNNNNNNNNNNNNNNNNNNNNNNNNNNNNNNNNNNNNNNACCGAAUGGAGCUUCGCCGUGAAGACCAAAGUCGCCGUCGGCACGCUGGCAUGGAGCCUCCAGCCGCCCCUCUCCGGUACUCCACACGCCACCGGUUGCCACGCCAGAUCUGCGGCUUCCGACGCCCAUCUCCAGACAUAGACUCCACCGAGGGGAAGAGCACCAUGCCCGCCAUGGAUCUGGCCGCCGCCGCACAGGCAAGGGACACCGCCCUACCUGUUGCUCGCGGAUCCAACAUCGAAGUCGCCCCUGUCGCCUCCGGGUGAUCCCGCAGCCCCCGCCGUGUCCGGCCCUCCACGCGCAAGACGAGGCACCGUAGCACCACCGCUGGACCUACAUGCGCGCCGCCGCGCCCCGGAUGAACGCGCCGCCGCCGCCCGAGGACGCCCACCAGCGUUGAGCCCUCGCGCGAGGAGGAGAUGGGGCCUCGCCGCCGCCAGCACCUACCGGGCUUUGCUCGGCGGCGCGGAUCGGCGUCGGCGAGGGGAGAAGAGGGGCGGGGGGACCUGAGGCCCCGGCGGCUAGGGUUGCCCCCUCGGUCGCUCGCGAGGGGGGCACGGGUGAGUUAUAUUGAUUGAGCAGAGCAAAAUAGAGGAGAAUCACUGGGUCAUCAUGACUCCGGCAGGUGAUGAUUCAGGAACGAACAACGUGGGAAAACUAAGACUUGAGAUCCAGGAGGAGGAUGUAGCCAGCUAGGUACAGCCACCGUGCAAAGGUUUACGGUGGAGAAGCAACUUGGCCCAAGUGGGUCAACUAUUGAAUGGCCACUUGAUCAAUUAGCUGAUGGAACACGUCUCUGAUGUUGGAUUGGAAUUGGAUGGCUGCUGCGGAGGACCGAGGAAGCUGCCGCCACCACCAAAACCCACAUCCACAUGCCGACAUGCCAUGCGGACGCUGGCCGUUGCAAGCAAGAGGGGAAGAACCCAACAAGUUCCCAAGCUGAAUUUUUCGUGCGCGUGUGUGUCCGUCUUGCACAAGUUCUUUCUUCUUUGUAAGACGGGGAAGGAGGAUCUUUUGAUUGAGAUGUCCUGUGGUCAAUCAAUUGGGACAAGUGCUGGCAUGACAUGGAUAUUGGACAGCCUACAUUAUUCCGUCUACUUGAAACUUCGAGGACAAAAGCCAAAAUUACUGCAAAAAUCUUAUGCUCGUCCAAAGAUGUGACGCCUUCGAUUUGACCGUACGCUAAUCAUACACGCAAACGUGUACGAUUAAGAUCAGGGACUCACGGGAAGAUAUCACAACACAACUCUACAAAUAAAAUAAGUCAUACAAGCAUCAUAUUACAAGCCAGGGGCCUCGAGGGCUCGAAUACAAGAGCUUGAUCGUAGACGAGUCAGCGAAAGCAACAAUAUCUGAGUACAGACAUAAGUUAAACAAGUUUGCCUUAAGAAGGCUAGCACAAACUGGGAUACAGAUCGAAAGAGGCGCAGGCCUCCUGCAUGGGAUCCUCCUAAGCUACUCCUGGUCGUCGUCAACGGGCUGCACGUAGUAGUAGGCACCUCCCGAGUAGUAGUAGUCGUCAUCGACAGUGGCGUCUAGCUCUUGGACUCCAACGUCUGGUCGCAGCAAACGGGUAUAAGAAAGGGAAAAAAGGGGGAGAAAAGCAACCGUGAGUACUCAUCCAAAGUACUCGCAAGCAAGGAGCUACACUACAUAUGUAUGCAUCGGUAUCAAAAGGAAUAAGGGUAUCAUAUAUGGACUGAACUGCAGAAUGCCGGAAUAAGAGGGGGAUAGCUAGUCCUAUCGAAGACUACGCUUCUGGCCACCUCCAUCUUGCAGCAUGCAGAAGAGAGCAAAAGGUAAGUUCACCAAGUAACAUCGCAUAGCAUAACCCUAACCGAUGAUCCCCCCCUCGUCGCCCUGUGAGAGAGCGAUCACCGGUUGUAUCUGGCACUUGAAAGGGUGUGUUUUAUUAAGUAUCCGGUUCUAGUUGUCAUAAGGUCAAGGUACAUCUCCAAGUCGUCCUGUUACCGAAGAUCACGGCUAUCCGAAUAGUUUAACUUCCCUGCAGGGGUGCACCACAUAACCCAACACGCUCGAUCCCAAUUGGCCGGACACACUUUUCUGGGUCAUGCCCGGCCUCGAAAGAUCAACACAUCACAGCCCUACCUAGGCACAAUAAAGAGGUCAGCACGCCGGUCUAAAUCCUAUGGCGCAGGGGUCUGGGCCCAUCGCCCUUUGCACACCUGCACGUUGCAAACGCGGCCGGAAGCAGAACUAGCCCCCUUAAUACAAGAGCAGGCUUACGGUCCAAUCCGGCGCGCGCCACUCAGUCGCUGACGUCACGAAGGCUUCGGCUGAUACCACGACGUCGAGUGCCCAUAACUGUCCCCGCGUAGAUGGUUAGUGCGUAUAGGCCAGUAGGCAGACUCAGAUCAAAUACCAAGAUCUCGUUAAACGUGUUAUCUUGAAGACACCGCGAACACCGACCAGGGCCAGGCCCACCUCUCUCCUAGGUGGUCUCAACCUGCCCUGUCGCUCCGCCACAAAGAUCCACCCAGAGGGCCGUCGGGACAAAGGUCCUUUCAGCCCCCCAAUCCGUGAAUCACUCGCGGGUACUCCUCGAGCCAACCUGACUUUAGUCAUCACAUGCAUCAUGUAUAAAGUAUAUGUAUAUACCCGUGAUCAACUCCCGAGUGAUCACGACCCGAUAGUAUAGCAUGGCAGACGGACAAGAAUGUAUGGCCAUUGAUGAUAAAUUAGCAUCCUAUACUAAGCAUUUAGGAUUGCAGGUAAGGUAUCAACAGUUGUAGCAACAAUGACAGGCUAUGCAGCAGUAUAGGAUUAACUAAAAGCAGUAACAUGCUACACUAAUCUAAUGCAAGCAGUAUAGAGAAGAAUAGGCGAUAUCUGGUGAUCAAGGGGGGGGGCUUGCCUGGUUGCUCUGGCAAGAGGGAGGAGGAGGAGUCGACACCGUAGUUGAACUGGGGUCGCCGACAGUCUCGGGGUCUACCGGAAAGAAGUAACGGAGGGGGAACACAGUAAAUAAUAGAGCAGUCAAAGCAUUACAAAGCAUAACAAGGCAAUACGCGGUGCCAGGGGUGAUCUAACGCAGGGAUAGGUGAUACCGGCAAGGGGGGACAUCCGGAAAAGUAUUCCUGGUGUUUUGCGUUUUCGGACAGAUGAACCGGAGGUGGAUUGUUCCAUGUUUGCUAUUCUAGGGACGUGUGGCGGACGAAUAGACUGCGUAUCCGGAUUCGUCUCGUCGUUCUGAGCAACUUUCAUAUAUAAUUUUUUUCAUCCGUUUUACGGUUUAUUUCAUAUUAAUUUUCAAAGUUUUAUUGUUUUUUUUUUGGAAAUUUCUGGUUUUAUUUUAUUUUGAUGUAAUUCGAAUUGACCAAAUCAAUUUGACUAGUCAAAAGGGGCAGGCGUGGCCCACAUGUCAUUGUCACUUGGGUUAAUAAAAUAUAUAACCUUUUUAUGAUAAAACAUCUAACUAAUUUAAUGGGGUCCUACAUGUCAUCUAGUACUAGACUAACUUAGCAUUAAAUUAGUACUACUAAACUAGUCCUAUUUAGCCUAAUUAAACAGAGGGCCGGUCCACUGCAGUGGCACACCGGCCACACACACCACACACACACACGCUGCACACACCUAGCACACUCACUCACGGCCAUGGCCAUGGCAGCCGGCAGCAAUUAGCGGAGCAGCAUAGCAGUAGCAACAAACGGCGGCAGCAGAGCAGCGUAGCUAGCAGGGUAGUAGCUAGCGGAGCGGCGGCAACUAGGAGCGGAUAGAGCAAUCAGCAGUAGCAGCGCGCGAGCAACAAGCAGUAGAGGGAGCAGCGUACCAGCAGCAAGAAGCAGCAGGCAGAGCAGCAGCAAGCGCGCGUCGGCAGGGGCAAGCAAGCGGGGCGCUAGCACGCGGGUGCGGACGCGACUGGGUAAGACAGGGCGCGGCCAGUGGCCAACACGGCCAGGCGCGCGCAGGGGAGGCCGCGGCCAGCAGCAGCAGUACACGGGGGUGCGGGCACGGCGUUUACGCGACGGACGCGGAGGCAUGAGCCGCAGUACUCGGCAAGCGACGUUGGCAGCAGCAGGUCGGGCACAGGAUGGCAGCGAGCGAGUGACGCGGGCGCGAGGAACAGCCAACGCACGGUCGGCGAGCAGAGGGCAAGCGCGGCGCGCGGCGACAGCAGUAGCGGCAGUAGAGCAGCGCAAGGAGCAGCAGGCGCGCGUACGCGGACACUGAGCUUCGGUCAUGGCGGCCGCCGGCUCGUACAGGCAACUACGCAACGAAUCGAGACCAUGACGAGGGGCGUUCGGAGGAGGAGCUCACCGCUAGUCCGGUGCCGUGCUCGGGGAGGGUCGGGGUGGACUGGAACGAUGGGAAUCGAUGACGGUCGCCGGCGAUGUACGCGCUGAAGAUGACGGCGAUGGUGAGCGUACGGACCGCCCCGGCUCGAUUCGUCGCUCUGGACGGGCGGAGUAGUCCGUGACGAUUCUCCUGGACAUGGAGCUAGACGAGGGGAAGCUUGGUGGGCGCGAGGACGACGGAGGCCAUGGAGGCUGCCUAGUCGCGCGUGAAGAACAUGAGCGAGGGAGGAGCGAACGUGGGGAGGGGGAAAGAUCUGGGGGACGAUGACGAGGCCGAGGGGUCGCAGGCGCGUCCUUAUCCCCUGCACGCCGACGCCGGCGAGGUGGUCGGGAGGCGACCGCGCCCCUGUAGCGGCACGGUCGGCCAAACAGGGAGACGACCGGUGGGGUGGGGGAGUGGGCUGGUUUGGCUUGGGUGGGCCGAGGCCCAGAGGAGCAGGGGCCUUUUGCACAUUGUUUUUUUUGUUCUUUUGCUUAUUCUGUUUUCUUUUCCUUUUAUGUUUUAUAUUUUCUACUCUAUUUUAUUUUAUUUUUACUUUUAUAAAAUACAGCACUAGCCCCUAAAUUAGUAUUAGCAAUUAAUCCACUUCUACAAAUAAUUUGGCACUUUAAUAAAACAUGUUUAUAUUUGUUUACUAUUUAUAUGCAUUUAAUAAUUGUUUUUGGCUACUGUUUUAUUUAUUUAUUUUCAUUUAAGCCUUUUAUGAAAAGAUGCUUCCUCCACCAAUAUUACUUAUGAUUUCUUUUCCACACCCAGAACAUUUUAGUUCGAAUGUUUGAAAACUUUUGUCGUUUGAUUUGAUUUUGAAUUUUGAAUUCGAACGGGAUUGAACCAUCGCGGGGUAACAACAGUAAUCUUGGUGAAGUGGCAUCGCGGGGUUACUGUAGCUUAAUUAUCCGGGCGUCACAAAAGAGAUACAACUUUAUCUGCUACUCCAACCUACUACUAAACAAUGCAAGUACGAAACCUCUUAAGCAAAGAUCCUGACUGUAGAGGCACCAAACUGCAUGCGUUCUCAACGAAUCUCUACCCCAAGAAGCAGCUGUGGACCGAUCGAUCGACCGACCAUAUGGAUGGAUCAUUUCAACGGCCUUGGUCGAUGACGGAGCCUAGGAACGGCGCCGGCUCCGAGCUCGACUGCCCGUUGACCUCGGAGCUCAUGUAGCUGGUGUCGCCUCCGCCCUUGAUCUGCCACUCCGUGAUGUAGCUGGGCUUCGGCACCCAGUCGGGCGCCUCGACGUCGCCCGCCAACAUCGCCACCACCCUCGACAUGGGCGGCCGCUGGUGGGGCGAGCCCUGGGUGCACACGAGCGCCACCUUGAUGGCCCGAAGCACCUCCUCGCUGUCGAAGUCCUCCAGCCUGGGGUCUAGCAUGUCCAGAGGUUGGCCGUCCUCAUACAGUUCCCAGACCUGGAAGCAUCGAGAUGGUAAGCUAAAAUGCAGCACUGCGCACAGGAUGCACACAUUCACAUAUGCCCAAACUGUGUGUUGAGAGGGUUUGAUUUAAAAUUCUGUGAAGACAAGUGAGCUCUAUAUUUCCAAUAUUUAGUAGGAAUUUUCACUAUGGGUUUUACCGAUAACACAAAAAAUACUAGGGCCUAGAUUUCCUCAGUGAGCUUACCCAUUCGAAAAUAUAAACCUUGCUUUGGUCCUCAGUAGUGUAAUAGUUUGGUCUUCCAGCUAAAGUCUCCAAUACCACGACGCCAAAUGCAAACACAUCAACCUUCUCUGUCACAUGGCCUCUCAUGGCAUACUCUGGUGCAAGAUAACCACUUGACAAAGCAGUCGAUAAACGCCAUUAGGAUACAUAUGAAAAUACUACAGAAACCUAAAAGUUAGCAGGAUAGAAAUGCACUUACAAUGUACCAGCAACUUUUGUGCUCACAUGUGUCUCCUGGUCAUCAUAAAGUUUUGCGAGUCCGAAAUCUGAGAUCUUAGGAUUGAGAUUUGCAUCAAGCAAGACAUUGCUGGCUUUUAUGUCCCUGUGCACAACACGGAUGCUGGAUUCUUCAUGAAGAUAGGCCAGACCUCUUGCAAUUCCUAAGCAUAUCUCAAAACGCGUUGACCAGUCUAGGUUUGACUUCCCUUUUCCUGCAUAUGUGAGUUUAAAUUUUUAGUUGUCUAUACUAACUCCAAAGUUGCAGAUAUUUAACUGUCGAAAAACAUAAGUUGUACCAAACAGAGCACGGUCCAGGCUUCCAUUCUCCAGGUACUCAUAAACCAGCAAUGGCUUAUUGCCCUCAAGGCAGCAACCAUGCAACUUCACCAGAUUACGGUGUUGCACCCGAGAUAUUGUUUCUAUUUCCGUCGCGAAUUCCUUUUUCCCCUGAUGAGAUGUUUCAGACAGCUGCUUCACUGCCACGAACCUACCAUCAGUUAACUUUCCCUGCAAAAAGUCAAUACUUUUCAUCAAUGGAAGAAGGUUUAGGUACCACGCUGCCAAACAUCAUUUGUUCCAGAUACACUUUCCCUUCAUUUUAGGAAUUUUAUUAACAUGUAUGUGGAGAAACUAUAAAUACAAAAAAUUACUCGUAUAGACAGGUCUUCCUUCUGAUAUUUAAGACUAUGUAUGGGAUGAACCAACCUUAAAAACCGACCCAUAUCCUCCUUGACCAAGAAGGUUAUUAGAACUGAAAUUUUCAGUAGCUGACCUCAGCUCCCCAUAGCUGAGGACAUUAGGUCUUCCAACAAUGCUGUAUAGCUCUGCAAGACAUCACAAAAGAUAUAACGAGUUUACUUCGACGGCUCCUUUGCCAAGUUAGAACAAAAUGUGGUCCUAGUGUAUCCCAUACCUUCUUGCUCCAAAGCUAGUUUUCUCUUUUUCUGCCUCCAUACAAAGAUUCCAGCAAAUGCUAACAAUCCUAAAACUACAACACCAACUAUAGCUCCCGCGAUCACACCUGUUUUACUACCUUUCUUUAUCACCGCAUUACGCACUGUAGGGGUGAAAUCUGACAGAAAGUUCACUUGUUAGAAAUGUGAUGUCAUAGUCAGUAUUUCAAGUCAGGUUCAAUGAAAGGUAUGAUUAUAUGUAAACUGGUUGGUGUAUUGUAACUUAAAUGUCAGACUGUAUACAUGUAUUAGGUAUUUCAAUUAUCUAAAACUUCCUUCACAGAAAUCUAAACAUCUCAAAUGACAUACUUUUCAAAGUAAUAACUACUUAUGAUUAGCCCGGUAACCCACAUGUUGUAUCUUGGUAAUUUCUAAGUUGCAAAAAAGAAAAGUCGACGAUACAUCUAACCUAGGUUAGUAUUUGAAGCUGGUAACAAUCUGUGAAUAGUAUGGUAACUCACACAUUACCGGGUGAGAAGUUAUGAUCUUGAAAAAUGUCACCAAAACAUCUCAAAUGGCAUGUACUUUUAAAGUGAUAACUACCUUUGUUUAGCCUGGUAACUCAAGUUCUGCAGGUUGAUAACUUUUAACCAAAAAAAGAGUUGACGGAACAUAUCAACAUGGGAUGUAGUUUCAAAAUCUCAUCACUAAUGAUUUUAAAUUGGAUGUACCGUUAGAGACUAAAACAUUUUGAAUUUUAUAGCGAAUCGUGAUGACAUCUACAGUUUUGUCUUCCUUGUGUCAUUGUGUGCAUGCAAUGAAGCUACUUUACUUACCCCUAAAUAAAUAACCAUCACCACAUAGUCGUGUCCUUUUCAUGUUGAUGCUUAAGUAUUUUUUGUUGCUUUUUGUUCACGAUGCAGAAGAUUGCAUUCAGCAUAACUUUAAUAUGUGUUUCUAGCAAGUUAAUAUGGAGAAUGGUAGUCGGUAAAAAAUCAUUAUUUCAAGUCAAGGGAUAUACUUGGUGUUGCACUCAAAGCUGAGAUCGCAGGCCCAUAGUAGCCUUGAGUAGGAAUGCAGCAAGUGCCCUUGCCAGCCCAGAAGAGAUGAAUAUCUAGAAAGUUCUUCGUGACAGGAACAGUAUACUGCUUCCUAACAGCUGUGAAAGAUUUCCCGCCUGCGGCCUUCCUUAUGUCAAAGUUCUGCUCCUUACGUUCACCCUAUACAAAUAAGAAGAAUAAAUUUAUAGCUGGCUUAUAAGCUAACAAGCUAUGGGUACUGUUUAAUUUAUCACUUAAUAGCGGCAACCUACCUGGACAUAUAUAUCAAAAACCCUUCUACCUCUGCUCUUCCAAGACUGGGUGUCUGGGAAGUCAAAUUCUGCAAACAGAAGUGUGACUGUAUAGUUUCCAUUUUCUAGUCCAAUACCAUAGUAUCUUAAGGAUGACGGCGACAUCCUUGCAUUCUGGAACAGUUCUGGAUCAAGUGUAUUCAGAAACUGGCCCGGACUGUGGAUUAUAUAACUUCCAUUAUUUGCCUCCAUGAACUUUCCAACGUUGCUAACACCCCAUGUUGGUGCUCCUGUAACAUAUAAUGACGCAGCUCCAAGACUGGCACGAUCAGGUUGAUACACGGAAUUAUCAGGGCCUACUAUGGAUUUUCCAGAGUCCACAGCAAAGGAAGAAGCUGCAAGCAGGUUAAAUUAUUUAAAAUUGGUAUUAGUUUAGUAAAACUGCAGUUGCACAUUCUUAAAAUUUCAAAAUGCAGAAGUCUCACACUUUGGAGAAUCAAGAAAACAUGGUGUAUUACGCUGAAGGCACCCCCACCCCGCAGGUAAGACACUGCAAAUGUAACAAUGUGACAUUUUAAACCCAAAAUACGAGGUGAGAGAACAUAAUAAUCAUACAUGAUGGUCUUGAGGAGAUAUUGAAAUAUGGACGAACCUGUUGCUGGAACUAUCGGCCACAAAAUUGUUUGCCACCAGAUUCCUAAGUAGGAUGAUCAACAGGCAAAAAUUAGAAUUCAUUGUUCAUACUUCAUAGCAUCUUUAUGACUUCUUUUCUAUAACUUAAAUAAAAAACGUUGAGUUACUCUUAAUUAAUUUGCUCAAUUUUGUGCUAGGCUGUAAGACUAAUAUGUCACUCGAUAAACACUAGGCAUCUAAAUUUAUUUAUAAAUACUUAAGAUAUAUGCACCAAAACAACCUUUCAGAUUUAUAUAGGAAUCUAGCUUAUUUGAUGUCUACAUAUAAGCCUAAUAAGUUAGCCCAGGAGCCUAUUUUUGAUGAAACCUGCCCUUUCUUAGGCUGGAUUUGGUUCAUCCAGUAAUAGGAGUUUCAGAAUUUGCAACUUACAAUUGUGAAUCUUUAGCCCAUGAAGGAAUGCUUCCUGAGAGCUGGUUGUAAGAAAAAUCUCUACAAAAUAAUAGAACGAAAGAACCAUUAGAAAUUGCAUAAGCACGCCUUGCUUUUAUUGUGUAAAUAAAUUGAACCAUAUUACAUACAAAUUUUUAAGCAAUGGUCCUACUGAGCUUGGAAGGCUUCCUGAAAGGCUAUUAUUCCCAAGAAAUCUAGUCACAACAAAAUUUAUAUAGAUUAGCAAAAUGAUGAAAGUCUUCCUUUUGUACAAAUACACUUUGAAAGUCAAGAGAGUCCAUACAAGAAGGCGAGUGAGUUCAGAUUCAACAAGGUUUGUGGUACUUGGCCUGUGAUAUUAUUGAAACUCAAAUCCCUAUAAUAAUAAUAAUAAAAUCAGAAAGAGAAGAUGUCAUCAGCCAGUGUAUAAUCUAUAGUAAUGCAGUGUUUUGCAAGAAAGGCACUUGGCUAUAGUUUAUCGUCAGAAUAAAAUGCUUACAGUAAAUUUAAACUGGUGAAUUUCGAAAAGUCUAUUGAAACAAGCUUAUCAGAUAUCCUACAGUUCCUCAAAACCCUGCAAAAAUUUUAAAUAUUUUAGGAUUAAACUUGGAUCUUUACAACUGUAAUUGAGCUAUUAACUGAAUGACAUACAGGGUGUUCAAAGAUGUCAGAUUAUUGAUGAAUGCAAGUGAAGAAGAGCUCCCACUUAAUAUAUCACCAAUUCGUCUGCACCACAGAAGUAGAUUAAUUAAUUUUCAUUGCUGCAACCUUCACAUUUAAGAAUGAUAUUUAGUUCUUAUCGCCGGCAAUGGGCACUUACAAGCUUGCCAAUUGGCUAAGAUUGGAAAGAGUAGCUGGAAUUGGACCUUGAAAAGAAUUACCCUGAAACCUCCUACAGUUCCAUAGAUCUAGUUAGUCAUUUAAAGCAUCAUUUCCUGACGAAUGCAGCAAAAGUAGUGAAAGAAUAGAUAACUCUAUUCCUUGGAAGAAAAGGAAAGUGAAUUCAAUAUUGACUGAUACUAUCACCUUCUCCGAAAAGGAAAUUACUAAUCUAACAUCUUACACCUUAAAUGGAAAUUUUCUUAAGAGGCCACAAGGAGAUUCAGCACGUUCAAGAAAGCCUCACGUAACUAAAACUGUUGCUAUUUAAAAUGAAUCUUCCACUUCCACAUGAUUUAUGUUUAGCGCAAAAUAAAGCUCAGCUUGUAAAUAACUAUAUCAAACUGAAAAAAAAUCUUUCAAACCUCCCUGCAAAUAAAUAGACUUUGAAAUUGUGUAAACAACAUGCAGUAUUUUCAUUUUUACAGCAUUACUAUGACUUAGAACAUAAGUGAUCUUACAGCUCUGUUAAACUGCUCCAGCUACCAAUAUAAUCUGGUAUUUUCCCAGUGAAAUCAUUAUCUGACGCCCAUCUAAACAAAGAGAGGAGAAGUACAUAAGAUUGAAUGCUGUGGAGUAUUAUAAUAUAUCAACAACACGCGGCAACUAUAGGCAUACAAUUUUUUCAUUUUCGUAAGCUGGAAAAGUGAUGAUGGCAGUGGACCACUAAGGCCAGAACUGUCAAUGUACCUGUAAUUGAGAAACAGAGAAAAAAUACACAUUGGAUAAGGGGCUGACUAAUCCAAGCAAGAAGCAACUGACUUGGCAGAAGAAUAUAGAGUUCCCAGAAUUCAGUAAAUACGUACAGUUCCUCAAGUUUUGCCAGGUUUCCCAGUUCCGUAGGAAGCGAGCCACUAAAAUUGUUUCCGCCCAAGCCCCUAUGAAUGCACCAAUAGUUUUAGUUAGGCAUGCGAACUUUAUAUUCUGCAAGUCAUGAAGGCUAUCAGCAUAGCUACCCUUCAAACCAAAAGUAAAUCUAAACUUGUAUGAUAAAAUACAAUCAUAUAGUUAUAACAAAUAUUUCUUACAAUUUUAUAAGAUUCUUAAGGUUCCCGAGCUCCUUUGGUACAGGUCCAGAUAAUGCAUUGAUACCAAAAGUCCUGAUAUGUUCAAGAGAGGAACUGUGAGACUAAUUGCGGGGAAAUAAAUGUAUUCAUUGUUGCAAACUUGCAAUCAUGAUUUGAGGUAUGAAUCUCACAUGGACUUCAUAGCAGUCAACUCCCCGAUGAAAGAUGGUAAAGGCCCUGUCAAGUAAUUUUGCCCUAAAUCCCUGAAACAACAUUGAAUCAGAUAGACGAGUAAAUUUGGUGUGCGACUGGAAUUAUAUACAGAAUGCCGGUUUCAAGCUAGGACAAUAGACUAUAUAUAAGUUAGGACCAUUUCAUUUCAGGUGUGCAAGUUGAGAGUUCAUACAGAUCGGUCAGGGCUGUGAGGUUCCGCAACUCUUCUGGUAUGGGGCCCACCGCGUCCAGGGCGUAUAUUUUCCUGCACCGCAAGCAUCACAUUAGCUAACACCUUAUCGAUCUACCAAUCGCCCGCAUUGAUCCAAGUAACGAAACCGUCGCUAGAUCUGGCAUUCCAUCAAACAUGCUGAGCGCGGGCAGGGCCUAAGAAGAGCACUUACAGCCUGGUGAUGCGGCAGACGGAGGUGUUGCCGCCUGUGCAGACUUCGCACUUGAUGGCGGCCUUGAAGAUGUCGUUGUUGUCGAUGUUGGUGUUGUCUAUGGCAGCGCCGGUGCAGGGGUCGCCGCUGAUGUUCCAUUGCGGCCCCGCCUUCUGGCCGAGUUUGGCGAACACAGCAUGCAGCGCCGCCGCUGCAAGACAAACAGAAAAUAACGGUUAAGAAAGUCAUCCUCGUUGCUGCUCAGCGGUCCGAUGGCGAUCUCACGGCCGAGAGGUAGCAUCUAGACUACAGGAAAAGAAACCACGAGUGAAAGCGGACAUGGUUUCUGAUUCUGACUUUUGUAUUUGGAGGAGCAAAAGUGAUGUAAAACAGCAAAUGUUUGUAUUUUAGAAACAUGGAGCGGACAAGUUGCAAACAGUCGGAUUCAAAACGCGACGGUGGAUGAAAACUGCCAUCAAACCACGUUCCCGCGUGGUAAUUCCUUUUUUUAGGGGAAGCCACGUGGUAAUUCCUGAGUGGGUCAUGCACUAAGACGCCACACGGUAUUACCAUGCAAAGUGAAGCGUCGAAGGAAAAUUCUGUAAACUAGCCGGCUGGUUGCUCCAUGCGUGCAUCUUUCUCUCUCUUUCUCCCAAGCUUCCACUGGAGCGCAUCAGCUCACCUCUCUAAUAAAUUAAAACCCCUCCACCGGAGCGCAUCAGCUCAUCCCUCUCCUGACUCCCCUUCUCGCUCACGGCCGGCCAUGGGGUAGGCGUAGAACCUAGAUUUUUUUUAUCUACCAAGCUCCAAGGAGAUGUUGGAACUACGCGGAAUGGAUUCGGAAACGAACAGCAUGGGAAAACCUAACACUUAAGAUCCACGGGGGGAAAAUUCGAGCAUGCUCACCGUCAGCCGGGUCGGUCGUCCUUGUUUGUUGAGCAUGCGCAACCGCCGCAAGAAGCAACAAGAGCGCCGCACCAUGGAGGAUCAUGAACAACCUCAUCUCCCUCAUUUUGCUUGAAUGUGUGCUCUAUCUGCGCUCAUCCCUUCCGACUUCCGGAAUAUAUGUAGAGAGAGGUAGGUGGUGAGGGAUGAGAGAGAGCCGGCCGGAGCUUGUUGACACGACCAGGUCGAUCGAUACAUCACCUAGCCAGCCACGUAAUUAAGGUGCAGCGAACGUUCCCUCAAGAAAAAGGUCACGAUGGAGAAGCAACUCGGUCCUCCAAUCUCAUGUGCGCAAGUGGAUUAAUUGUUGAACGGCCACUUGAUUAAUUAUCAUUAGCUGCCUGAUGGAACACGUGUGGCUCCGUUUAUUAGAGUAUAUAUGGUCUCAGAUGUUGGACUGGAAUUGCAGGACCGCAUGCCAUGCAUGCAUGCGACCGCUGCAAACAAGUGGACGUGUUGGGAAACCUUCCCGUACGUACGUCAAGUAGUAUUUCUUUUCACAUUUUGGCUGUUCAAAUGCAGCUCUCAGUAUUACUAAAAAAAAUGCAGCUCUCAGCACCCAGAUAAAUAAUUGGCCAUAUGCCACUACCGGUAUCAUAAGCAUGCGGCAGGUAGCAAACGAUGCGUACUUAAUUAAUAAUUAUAUGGUACUGGCGGCUAUAGAAAGUUGGAAUCUCACCAAUUCACCCUAAUAGAAUAUAAUUCAGUAGGAUAAGCUGUCCGUGUCAUUGUGUUAACAAGACAGGGUUUGAAAUACAAUCGAUGAGAGGAGCUGUAAAAAGGGAUCGAUACCCCGAGACGGACUACUCGCCAGCUUCCACAACAGCAUCUCUACAACGAACAUGCGGACCACCUGAGACGGAGGGCAUGCAACCUUGUCAAACACCCUGUAGCCCAUCUCUCACGUCGAAUGAACCAAGACAAGAUUCAUAGUCGGAAAUGGAGCUAAUACGAGGCUCUGGGAGGAUACGUGGCUUGGGGAGACCCCUUUGCACUUCAAUAUCCUACUCUGUACAACAUUGUUCAACGUAGAGAAGCCUACGUUGCAACCGUUUUACAAUCCACUCCCCUCAAUAUUAGCUUUCGGAGGACGCUAGUUGGAAAUCGUUGGGAGGCCUGACUUCAUCUUGUAAGACGUUUGAUGGAUGUACAGCUGUCCCAGCAGCCAGAUCGGCUGUAUUGGAAACUUACUAAGAACGGUGUGUUCUCGGUCAAAUCCAUGUAUCUGGAUGUCAUAAACUCUAGCGUCAUUCCUUCCUCGAAGUACGUUUGAAAAGUAAAGGUACCUUUGCGUAUCAAAGUGUUUAUAUGGUUUGUGCAUAAACAAGUCAUUUUGACUAAGAAUAAUCUGGCAAAACGCAACUGGAUGGGUUCUGCUAGAUGUAGUUUUUGUGACCAUAACAAAAAUAUCAAACACCUCUUUCUUGAUUGUCCGUUGGCUAAGAUUCUGUGGCGGUCGAUUCAUAUUGCGUUUAAUAUUAAUCCGCCCACCUCCAUUAACAUGUUAUUUGGAACGUGGCUUGAUGGGGUUGAUUCCGAUACAGCGAGGCACAUUCGUGUUGGCGUUUGUGCUUUAUUAUGGGCAAUCUAGAACUACAGAAAUGAUUUAGUUUUUAACAGAUCAAAGAACAUUCACUUUUUGCAGGUUGUCUUCAGAGCCACGGCGUUGAUCCGUAUGUGGUCGCUACUCACUUCGACGGAGGCCAGGGAGCGUUUGGUUACUGCGUCUACCCGAUGGGAGAUGGUAGCUCGGGAUAUUUUCAACCGGUUUGGAUGGCGGUCAUGUGAUAGGAUAGGCAUGUAGUGCUCCUAUUUUAUUUGCCAGCCGGUUGUGGCUUUUUGUUUUAGCUCUUAUGAGCUUUGUUUAUUUUCACUCUUCAAGACUUGGAGACUUGCUGGAUUAUCUUUUUAAUAAUAUGAGCCGUAUGCAUCUAUCUGAUGCAGAGGCUGGGGUAAAACCCCUUUUCGAAAAAAAACGUCGUAUGAACCAAUGGCCACCAGUCCUCAGUCGUGGUUGGUAUCAUGGGCGUGAAAUGAUGAAGGGGAUGCGGAUAUAGAUUAUAGAGGCUCCACUAAAUCCAGUCGACGGUGAUCUUGGGAGCCGGGCCUUCCUUAGGAUGACCUAAUAGGAGGUUAGGAGCAAAUGAAGAGGCAUCCGGGGCCGGAAGAGGACGCCUGCGACUAACCGCAAGGCGACGGGGCCGCCCAGCGCCAGAGCCCACAAGCCCGACAAACGUGGCUGCAUCUGGCAGAGGAGAACGCCUCCCUCCAGCCACACUCGUUGUCUGCACACCCCGCAGCAGGGUCAGCCCCUCCUUAGCAACGACGAUGCGCUCAACAGAGGCCUCCUGCACAUGAUACGGCGGCAAGAGGCCCUAGAUUCCGAAAGCGGGUAAAUUUCGAGAGAGGGGAUCGAUGAUUCGAUGUAAGAAGUGGCGCUAUAUGUUUAGGCAUGGCAGGCUUGGAUACCUAUACGGGACGUGUGAUUAACUCUAACUUUUGGGCUAACUAGUAAGCAUGCACGUGCAACGCACGUCUCAAAUGUAAAAUAGGUGAAUUCAAAUAAUAUAAAAAAAUAAACGUUUUUAAAAAUAUAAAUCAAAUGGAUACACAAUGUUUGAUGUCGCUCAAAUUGUAUUUUCAAAAAAUGAUACAAAAUAGUGGUUAUGUUGCUGCAUAGAGUAAUGGCAGGAAAAUAUUCUCAUUUAAAUAAUAUCAGCAAUUAUUUAUUAAUGCAAUAAUAUAGGCAUGUAGUAUAGUCUUCUCUUCGAGUGUAGCAAGGAAAAAAAGUAUAAACUGCCUUACGGUGCAAUUAUAUUGUUCAAGAUGCUUAAUUCUCGAAUCUUAUUUUAUUCUACUACUCUGCAUAGCAAAAUAUAUAUUUGUACUAAUUUGGAUCAAAUUAUAUAUAUUUUUUGGUUGUGUGGACUGCCAAAAUUAUAUAACUACCUACUAUGGAUAAUAGGAAAUAGAAGAUGAUAUGUGACUACAACGACUUCUAUAUGAAAUAAAGAUGAUUUACAAGAACUAAUUGAAAUGUAAAAGGGCUAAAAGAAAUCCAAUAAUUAUCAUGAUAGAAAAUAUUUAUCCGGUUUUGUAUGUGUUUAUGCGUUGGCAACCAUACUAACUUAUAAUGAUGUAAGACGCUUUGUACAUAUAGAAACUGAAAUGAGUUAUGAAGAAAAAUAAAGAUGGAAGGAAAAGUAUUCUAGAGUAUUUGUCAAGCUUAACCUUAUCAAGCUUUUAGGUCAGCUUCUAAAUUACAAAAAAAAUAAUGAAUCCUCAAAUAAGAAAGAGCCAACAAUUUGGAACAUGCUACAAAACUGGUGAAGAUAGAAAACACUCAUCCUCUUUUUCCUUGUCGUAAGGAGUAGCUUCAACAUAUAUUUGUAACAGUGUAAUACCUGAUCCGGAAAAAGUUGUUCAUUAUUAUUAUUGGAGGAAAGAGGCGCGCAGACAAAGAAAGAGAGGCGGUGCAAAUAAGGUCUUAAACAACAUGUCUUCAAGUUUGAUGACUGCAGAUAUAUUGGAUCAUUCGAAACUGCACAAGUAUAUAAGAAUAAAUAUAUGUGCCAAAAUAGCGAAAGGUAUUUGGUUUCUCUGUCAUGAAACAAAAUAAAUCCGACUGAGUACAGUUUAUAUGAUUUCUCUGUACCAAUAUACGACAGUUGUAUUAGGACAGAUCCUUUGAAGGAUCUAUUUAUUGGAACUCAGCCGGAUUAGUUUCUUCAUUGGAUCCUUCUGUAUGGUAAAAUUCUCUUUAUUGGAACGCGGUAGAGAUUGCAUACCUUUACAGAACAGCGAGAGAUAUUCUCGAACAACAGUUACGGAGUCAUGUGAAUCGUUUUAGUUGUAUAGAAUCAUGUAACUGAAAUAGUAGUACAUCUUCAAUAUCUUGCCUCCUACUGAAUCUUACAUAAUUUACUGGAUUGCUAUGCAAUUAUGUUAAAGUGACGCGUGUAAAGUUUAUCUAAGAAUGAAUCAUAUAUCCUGAUUUCCAACCUAUCCCUGGAGAUAGUGUCUAGGCAGGUGCAACCCACCUUAAUUCCAGGUAAAGCAACGUCAUACGUAAAACACACACUGAUCAAAAUAGCACAAAUAAGGCAAUUCUAAUCAAGGGGAUGAUGUUACCUCUUGAUACGGUCUAGUUUAAUGCAUAUGGUGGUACGAAGUAAAGCCCAAGGAAGCCGACAUGAACAUGAGAAGUAAUCAUGGGAAAUAGACUCUGCAUCUUGACUUUUUCAGUAUCACUCUUGAUCCUACUUUGUAAGACAAGAUUGUUGCAUUCUUAUGUACGUGCCAUAUAUAAUUACACAUUUUCAGUACAACAAUCAGCAACCUAAGAUAAUCUCAAAUCUAUAAUUCUAGAUUGCUUGAAGCCCCACGAUUCUUAUUUAAUAUGUAAUGCAUGUGCACCCGCUGAAUAGACACUUUGUCGGCGUGAGUGCUGCGAACGGAGCUGAAGUCAACACGGAUGCCGAUGGUUGCCGGAGAGCAUGCCCUGGACGUGGAUGGAGUCGUCGCAGUAGCGGCAGAAGAGCGCCUGUCCUCCAGGCAGAAGACGAUGGCGGCGAUAGCACGUGUGUUCCCGGAGGAAGACGAAACUCCUCGCGCUUCCCCCAUCGUGGCUAGCGUGCAUGAUGGUGGCAGGCGGCUCGUGAUUAGCUUUCUAAUAGGAUGGAUGCAUCCGAGAUAAGUUUUUAAUAGGAUGGAUUUGUCUGAGAUUAGUUUCCUAAUAGGAUGGAUGCACUCUGAUUUAGUUUCCUAGAAUAGAAUGCACCCGUGAUUAUUAGUUUCCUAAUUGCUCAGGCGUGGAGUUUCAUAUUUUCCUCCACGGUGGAGUACGGUCAGUCAAUGUAAAUUGCUAAGUGUACACAGAAAAUGAUUUAGGUUAAGGCUAACCGUUAGAUUGAUUUUAGUGGGUCUAAUCGUGCGGUGGUAUUGAAUCUGUGUACGCUUUGUGGGGUGUGCUUAAAGAAGUUCUUGUUUGAUUGUUUAAUAGUAGUAUAGACGAAGAUAAACUUUUUUUUUCAGAAAAAUGCCCAAUUCUGUUUUGUUACGACAUGUAUCUAGUCACAAGAAUAGUUAUCUCACUUGGUCGUUCCGUUGAAUUGCUUGCAAAGUAGUAGGUCUUGAGUUCGAAUUCCCCCCUUAUCAUCUUUCCUUUUUUAGACCCAGACGAACCAAACAGAUCAGGUUAAGGGCCAGCUAGUUGUGGGCUGCACCGGGAGCAGGCCUAGGUUGGCGCUGCUAACAUUUUUUCUGUAAUUUUAGCACCACCUUGAAUAGCAAAAAUAAUAUGCUGUAAUUUUAGUACCACCUUGGAUAGCGAAAAUAAUAAUACUGUAUGGUGAACGGAAGACGGUGAACCUAUAGAAAAAAUCCGUUCUUUAUUAUUAGGUAGAGAUAUAGGUAUAGAUAGAUAGAUAGAUCUUAGUAUCUCUUGUAACUAGCUCUUUGAUGUGUUGUAAGUUCAGAGUGUCCUCUUUCGGGCAUUUCUUGUUGUUGUUUUUUCGUGUUAUUUGUAUGCUGCUUGUGUAAUCCUAGCCGGUUGAUGGCUUUGUUAAUUCAAAACCGGGUUAGGUCCGAGCAUACUUUAGACUCGGGCUAAGCCUUUUCUCUAAAAAAGAUAGAUACAUAGAUAGUCUCAGAUGUUGGAUUGGAAUCGGAGGACCGCCGCGACCAACCCACAUGCCAUGCGACCGUUGCAAACAAGUGCAAGUGUUGGGAAACCUUCAAACACUCCUGGCUGUUGAAAUGCAGCUCUCAGUACGUACCCAGAUAUAUAAUUGGCUCUAUGUUACUACGAUAUAACAUAAGCAUGCGGCAGGUAGCAAACGACGUUUGCUUAAUUAAUAAUUAUAUAGCACUGGCGGCUAUAGAAAGUUGGCGUCUCACCAAUUCACCCUAGCUUGAAACUAACUAACACAGGCUAGCUAGCCAACCAUCGUAUUCUACCGCCUACACGUGAAACUACGUUUUACCGACAAUUUGUCCAAGCGGUAAUUGAAUUGUUAGAAAAAAAUGUUCGUAGGAUAAGGAUGAAAUAAUUCAACAAUUUAGUAGGAUAAGCUGUGCGUGUCUUUGUGUUAACAUGAGAAGGAUUGAAAUACAAUCGAUGAGAGGAGCUGCAAAAAGAGAACAAUACACCCCGAGACGGACUGUACUUGCCCCAAACCGCGCCGGCUUCCACAGCGGCAUCUGACUCUAUCCCGAGCAGCGGGAACACCGGGGACGGAGGCGAUGCAACCUUGUCAAACACACUGCAGUUCCUCGCCGUUGGUGUCAUGGGCGUGAAACGAUGAAGUCGAUAGGGCAAUAGAGCGUCAAAAGUCAAAAUAGACCCCCCCCCCUCUCCUCCCGCGACGCUCCCGCGAGCGUCCGGGAGGAAACCCUAGCGCCGCCGCCUCUCNNNNNNNNNNNNNNNNNNNNNNNNNNNNNNNNNNNNNNNNNNNNNNNNNNNNNNNNNNNNNNNNNNNNNNNNNNNNNNNNNNNNNNNNNNNNNNNNNNNNNNNNNNNNNNNNNNNNNNNNNNNNNNNNNNNNNNNNNNNNNNNNNNNNNNNNNNNNNNNNNNNNNNNNNNNNNNNNNNNNNNNNNNNNNNNNNNNNNNNNNNNNNNNNNNNNNNNNNNNNNNNNNNNNNNNNNNNNNNNNNNNNNNNNNNNNNNNNNNNNNNNNNNNNNNNNNNNNNNNNNNNNNNNNNNNNNNNNNNNNNNNNNNNNNNNNNNNNNNNNNNNNNNNNNNNNNNNNNNNNNNNNNNNNNNNNNNNNNNNNNNNNNNNNNNNNNNNNNNNNNNNNNNNNNNNNNNNNNNNNNNNNNNNNNNNNNNNNNNNNNNNNNNNNNNNNNNNNNNNNNNNNNNNNNNNNNNNNNNNNNNNNNNNNNNNNNNNNNNNNNNNNNNNNNNNNNNNNNNNNNNNNNNNNNNNNNNNNNNNNNNNNNNNNNNNNNNNNNNNNNNNNNNNNNNNNNNNNNNNNNNNNNNNNNNNNNNNNNNNNNNNNNNNNNNNNNNNNNNNNNNNNNNNNNNNNNNNNNNNNNNNNNNNNNNNNNNNNNNNNNNNNNNNNNNNNNNNNNNNNNNNNNNNNNNNNNNNNNNNNNNNNNNNNNNNNNNNNNNNNNNNNNNNNNNNNNNNNNNNNUGUGCGACCGGGUCGCGGCGGCCCCUCUCGCCGCGGCUCUCUGGUGGAGGGGCGGUGCGGCAGCGGUGGUGGUGGGCGCCCCCGUCCAGUCGGGCCCUUGCGGCUGGACGACGGAGCUCGGCGCGGGAAGACCUCCCUGAUGGCCUCCCAUGGCUGCGACGGCGGCAGAUCUGCCAUCUCAUCCGUCUUCCUCGACAUCGGGUGGCGGUGGCUGCUCUCCGGCGGGUCCGGACCUUCGGCUUCGGGGGCGAAACAGGUGGUUCCGGGGGGGAGGCUGGUUGGGGGAUGAGUUCGUCCUUGGCCAUUGGCCGUUCCCUCACCCCCCCUUCCCCCGGGCAGCGUCAUGUCGCGGUUCGUCUCGAGGCAGCACCCGCCGGCGACUCCAGGAGGCGGUUGGGGGCGUGGAUUUGGUCAAAGUCGUGUCCUUUGGGAGUUCUCGCGGUGGUCUGGUGGCAGGGCGGCGGCCUUGGCGGUGGGAGACGCGGCGGUCGUGGACGGACUGCGAGGCUCGGAUGCGGGCGGGCAUCUAUGGCCGCUCGGGUGGCAUAGCUGCGGGUGGCUGUCGGACCGGGGAGGCGACGGAAGAGUUGAAGCACCGGAGUACAUCACUUGCCCAGUACGCGUUCUGGCCGACGAUGAUGGCGUCCGCGGACGUCGUGUUCCUCCCUGUAGGCUUCGUCGUGGUGCUCCUUCUCCUUCCUUCUAGCUCCGGGUGAAAGCUUGAUCUUCGGAUCGGACGGUGGCGACAUUCCGUGGUCGUACCCCUUCUUGGAGGCAUUGUCUUGGAGCCCUCGGUCCGGCGUGGUCCGUCACACUUCUUCCCGGUUCAUCGGGCAUCCUGUGGGUGUGUGGUAGUCGUUGAGGGUGUGUGUCGGUGCCCGGCAUCCUUGUAUCUUGUUUUGCGUGUGUGGUGUGCGUUUGUAUCGAUGGCUUGGUUGUGGAUGUUGGUUGCUUUAUAAUCUAAAAUGGGGGAAACAUUUUUUCGGAAAAGUCAAAAUAGACCUGCUUAGCGAAGGGACAGAGAAGCAGCAUGUGGCAAAUGUCUCUCUCGUGUUCGUUUGCACGUCUUUUCUGUCGGAUUGUCUAUGUGGCUUCGAAUGUCCCACCGCCAACAACCAUCUCAAAUAUGAUUGGGAAUUCUUUGGCAGGAAAGACGUCAACCGAAACUACAGCCUCCGGUGCAGGACAGCUGGAGUAACUGCCACACCAGAUCAGGAUGCCAAGUGAUUCCUUGUUUGGUCAAAUUAAGUAAUUCAAUUUUUGGCCCCAACUCAAUUUAGCAUGCAGGCUCCUGGUUGUGAAACGUUCGACACUUGAAAAAGAGAAACAUGGUCACAAAUUACAGAUAGAAAAUACUUGUACCAAAAUAAACCUAUGGGCUUCUUAUGCCGGCGUGACAUUUUGCUGACAAACUGUAAUUGGCAAAGCGAAAUCGAUGAGAAUCACAAUUAAUGGCAUAUAUAGCAGGCGCAUUAUUUCAUUUUCAUGAAUUCAAAUUUUGUGAAAAAUGGAUGACAGCAGAUGCACCCGCCAUUAUUGGUUUACAAACAAGCACAUACAUUGUGGCAGCGAGAAUUUGAGAGCAAUUAAUCAUCUUCAAGAAAACAGAGUACUAGAAACAGAAUAAUUCUGUAUUCUCAUCAGGUAGGUUUUGUUCUACGGGACUGCUCUGCUCCGCACUGCUGACUCCGGAGUGGAGAGAAUUGGAACAGGUUCUUAAAUUUUCGGAACUUGCAUUCUAAAUACACUAAACCUGGCCAGGUUUAGUUUACCACGUUUUUUUGAUUUUUUUCCUAUCAUAGAAAAUCGGACCAAUGGAUGUGCAACACGUGCAUUAGUGGGGAUGCAGGUGGGUACGCGGCUGGGUGCGCGGAGCGGCCGCUGGUGGAAAUCAAAAAAAAAAAAAUGCGGCCGCAGCUGUCCAUUGGUUGCAUGUUCUGGGCUGCUCUGAGUUCUUGAUUGGCUGCAUGCCCUGCGCAUGGGGAGACCAUGUUGGCUACGAAUUGUGAUUUCUGUUUUGGCUUAUUCUGCAUGGCUGCUUCUUCUCUCCUUCUAAAUUUUUCUUCUUUCUGCCACGUAUGCCAGCUUGGGGUCGGCUGGACUUCCCACCUUGGCGGUCGCCGCUUGCGCACACUUCGAGUUCCCCUUAUCUACUUCUUCCUAUAAAUAGUGGUUGCCCCGUGCGUCCGUCCCUCAUUCCAUCUGCUCUCACCUGCUCUCUUUUCUCUCUAACCACUAGUGGCAUUUGUUGGGCCGGCGAUGGUCGAUCCUGCUCCUGUGUAUGACAUAAUAGGACCUUCGCUGUAUGCACGCUGGGGUUACAUACAAAGUGGCAGUACAUCGAAAAGUUGUUGCAUUGUUGUCCUUUUUUUAGCAGAUGUUGUUUGUUAUGCUGGUUUUGUUUUUCUUUCGAUUGGGCAUGCCCUCCUCUGUCCCUUUGUUCGUUUUCUGUUUUUUUUCCUGUUUUCACUGUAUUUUUGCUUUUGUUUUCUGUUUUUUUUGUUUGUUGGUUUUUAUUUUCUUUUUGUAGGUAUUUUUUGGAUGUCGGGUGAGUGUAAAUGUACAGAUAUAAAUACUAUGCAAUAUGUGCCAAAAUUACACUAUUAUAUGAUUGUUAUUUGGAUGCUACAAAAAGUGCAAUUUAUAGCAGAAUUGUGUGCAAGUUUUCUAGAAUUUUUUUGUUAUCUUUCUUCUUUAAAUGAUAAUAGCAUUGCUACUGAUUCGUUGUUCCUUGUUUUGAAUUUGUUAGUUACUAUGUUAUUUUAUUUCUUCUUCAAGGGUAAAAUUAAUGGCACUAACCUGUUGCUUUCUCGAAAUUAUCUUUUUGAAAUUUUUUCACUAUUAUAUGUUUGGUCUUGCGUAUUGUAAGGAACACAUUUUUUUAAUAUUAUGUGCAAUUUUUUUUCUGUUUUUCUAUUUUAUUUAAUGCCGAUGCCACUAAUUUAUUCUUUCUUAGAAAAUUUUACUAUUUUUAAGGAUUUUAUACUCUUUCUUUUUUAAGAGCAAUAACAAUGAUAGCAAUUCAUUCCUUCAUAGGAAUUUGUUUUUGCGCAAUUUCACAAUAAUAUGCUUAUUCUUGCAUAUUAUUUAAAAGCGCAUUUUAUGGAACUGUGUGCAUGUCUUAGUUAUUCGUUUUAUUCUUUUCUUUCUUCUUAAAGGGUAAUAUCAAUGCCACUAAUUAGUUCGUUCUUAAAAAAAUAUUAUUACUGAUUUUUUUAGUUUCUAUUUCAUUUUCAAUUUUUCUUAAGAGUCCAAAAAAGCCACCUAUUCUUUAUUUCAUAGAAAUACUUCAUUAUUUUGAUUUGUAUGAUAAUUUUAUUUUUUUUCUUUCCUAAAAAACUUAAUUAUCAUGAUUUUGUUUCAGUUUCAAUUUCAAUUUUGGAAAACUUCAAUAAUUUGAUUUGGUUUUAGUUUUCGUUUCAUUUCUUUUUUGCUUUAAUGGUAGUACCAAUGCCACUAAUUCUUUCUUUUUUAGUAAACUUUUUUGAAUAGAAUUCACUAUUAAAUUCUUGUGCUUGCAUCUAAUAAAAAUGUGCACUUUCUAUGUAAUUUGUGUGCAAAUUUUGACAUUGUUUGAUUCAUAUUGUUUUUUAUUUUCUUUCGUCGUGAAGGGUAAUACAAAUCACACUAAUUCAUUAAUUAUUAGAAAACAUCAUAUUUCCAAAAACAGUUAUGUUUACUUUUUUUAUUUUUGUUUCAUUUCUUUCUUCUUAAAGAGCAAUACCAAUGCCAUUAAUUCAUUCCUUCCUAGGAAACUUCUUUUUAGAGAAAGCUCCACUAUUAUGUGCUUAAUCUUUCGUAUUAUAAAAACACAAAAUCUGAUUAGAUUGUGUGUCAGUUUUGUCGUUAUUUCCUUCAUUUUCUUUCUUCUUAAAGGGUGAAACUAAUGCCACUAUCUCAUUCUUUCAUCGAAAACUUCAUUAUUUUUAUUUUGAGAAGUAGAGACGCCGUUGAUCAAAUACCAACGCAGCUAAUUCAUUCUCUGGAAAAAUAUUUGUCAAAGUUUACCACAAAAAAAGUUUCAGAACUCUUUGUAUGUGUUCAUAAGUUUAUUUGAUUUUACUGUUUAUCAACAAGCAUUUGAGCUCGGAAGCAGAUACUCCACGCCCGACACUUUCUUUCUUCUUCCUUGAGCUUUCUUCCUCCUCUAAUUGUUUGUUCCUCCUUUCAUAAAAUUGACUUAUUCAAAUUGCAAAUUCAGUCAAUUUACGUGUAGUAAUUGAGUAAAACAAGAGAUCGCAUGUGUCCAUGCCAAGGUGUAAAAUUUCCUCGAAAUGUCCCGAAAUUUCCGGUGGCCGAAAGUUUUGCCUUUCGUUCAAUUUUUUUGUUUGGUUUGAAUUCCUAUGUAAAAAAGAAUAUGGAUCAUUUUGAAUAAGCAUUGGUUUCAGUAGCGCUGCAGUAGGACAGUUUUCUUCCGACUGUUAGGUCGAGAGUUUCAAUCAUGUUGCAAAAGCAUUAUUCUAAAAUUUUGCACCGAGAAUACUUUUUUGGCAGAACUAUAUGUACUAGCCGAGAUUCAAACGGACUAACGAUCAGGUUACAUAUGCAGUUCGGUAUCCCUACAUCUACAAAUUUCAACAGUUUCGUAUGUUCAAUUUCUUCAAUGUCUCUGUAUAUUAUUCUGAAACUAAAUGAUCAUGGACCAAACCAAAUCUUGAGUCAACAGAUUGUUCAUUUGUGAGUGAUCAUCGAGCGCGGCGUGCCGCCGCGCGGGUUAGGCUAGUAAAAACAUAUGCACUCCCAAUUCUUUGAUUACAAACAAGCACAAGCAUAGUGGCAGUAACAAACAUAGACGAACUAAACAUCUCUGAAAAAACAGAGUACUAGAAAACAAAGUAUGUCCGUAUUAAAAAUUGCAAGUGUUCUCAUCAGGUUGAUCACCAGCCAUUGCAUUUCAUGCUGUUCCCUAAGAAGGGAUUUUUUAUCGGGGCCAACAAUUGCAAAUUGUGAACUCCUUCUGAGUAGCAGUGCAGCUUGCUACUACCCUCCAUUACAUUGAAGCCCCGAGAUCAAUGAGUUCCUCAUCCAUUCACAGUGGAGAUGUCGAGAUCCCUCUUAGCUUCACCUUACACCAUAUUAGAGGCCACCAGGGAGAGCUGAAUGCGUUUUCCACGUCUUCUCCCCAGCUGAGAUAAAAAAACAGAGCAUUACUCAGUACAUUUCAUCAGCAGAUGCAUGUUCGCAAGCUGAAAACCGUGCCAGGAUUGGAAAUUAGUACAUAUUUAUAUGGAAAAUCUUACAUGACAACAAAAAAAAGGAGCUGUAGAUUAACGGACCGGUUAUCAGUGUGAUCACAGUUCACACUUCAGAAUGUUCAGUUUCCUUCUCAAGCACUGGAAGGCUGGAUGUUUUGUUCGCUACAGCUGCAGAGGCAUGCACCCUGCUCAAAUCUCAUCUCUUAGAGUUGUUACUCCAGCUCCUCCUAAAUAUCAAGAUUCCUGAUAUUUGGAAAUGCCACCACAUUGUGAGUGCUAAUUUCUUUCUACUGUAUAUAAUUAUACACUGAAAUACAAGAGGAGCAAAACAUGGGUUAUACCUUCCUUCAGCAGAAAAUUAGCUAGUGCGCCGCUAUAAGUAGCAUUAAUUGCAUCAUGAGCUUAAUCAUGCUAUGCUCCAGCUUGUCCCAGGUUGCGAAAUCCUAACUUCCUGUAAAGUGUGUCAACAAAAGGGGUGCUUCAAAUUAUAAAAGACAUGAGGAGGUAGCCCAAUUGGUAAUGGUGAGAGUCUACGAGACCAAACUGACCAUAUGAAAAAGAACUAGUACUUCUGUUUGUAGAUGGCAGGUAACAUCAACUUACAGUUCAGAUUGUAUGCCCUAAUAAUUUCGGGUUUAUGUUUGAAGAACAGAGUGUUGUUUUCUUCUUUUGUACAAAAACAGGGGAAAUAUUAGCUGAAAGGAAUAUGUAAGCAGAAGACCAUGGAUGUAGGAAAGUCAGUCACCUGUAGGAUGCAGGAAGUUCCCACUUCUUCGUUUAGUGCUGAAGUGGACUUGUAGCUGCUGAUUUUCUUCACAAGUCUGAACCCCUAAUGGCACUUGACUGAUGAGCAUGCAGUUAUACAGUGGCAUGGUUAUUGGACGGGGCCUGUAUGUGUACAGUACGUCAUCUUGGGUGUUAAAACAACAAGACAGAGAGAGAUUAAUUCUGAAUGCAGAAAGUAGCAAUUAGCAUCUCAUUUGCUGGACGAAAGAGAAGUUAGCUGACCUGUUUAUGCUCUUCGUCGGCGUCAUCAUUCUUCAGAGCACAAUCUUAUACAGUAAGCAGGUUUCACCAUUCUUCAGUUAUGAUUCAGUACAAAAUAUAGACCCACGGCCUCAUACAAACAGAGACCCACGGGCAAACAAAGCAAGUCUCUAUUGAUAAUUAGCAACAGAUCAUUACGGUUAUCCUCUGAACAGUGCAAGGUGAAGUCAACUGAUGUUUUUUUUUAGAACGAAGGCUCACGACGAGCCCGGCUUUGAAUUAACAAAGCCAUCAACCGGCCAGGAUUACAGCAACAACCCACUUACAGGAGCAGAAAAAGAAAAAAACAGCUAAGAGAUACAUGGUGCUCUGCAACAGCUAGCUAGCUUCACGCAACCUACAAGCAAAGAUGAAGAAAAACUAAAGCCCAGGAGCAGCUUGAAGAGAGUGAAGCCCUCCAUCGAUCGCAAUCCAUCGCUCAGUGACACCAGGGAGGCCUUGAUGAGGACAUCUCUUCUAUUGUUACACCCGCCGCAACUCCUACAUCAGUUAUUCCACUUGGUCCUAUUACUAAAGCGCGGGCGAGACAAAUUAAUGGCCAGGUACUAUCGCUUCUUCGUACAUAUGAUUUAACUAAUAAGAAUAUAAUAUUACACUCAUGUUUGAAUUUGCUUGUACUUGAGAAUAAAGGAAAGAUUAAAGAUGAAGACAAUAUGGGUUCAGAUCAAAUGGAGCAACGCUCUUGCAUGCAUGUCACACGUCCUAUCCACCAAGCAUGUCACGUACGCAUGCAUGAAGUGCACCAGGACAAGAGACUUGGAUUAAUGGCCCAACAUUACCACGUGGGUGGGCCCUAGAGCUUUCGGCCAGGCCGCCAGGUGCUUGCCGCAAAGUCUACGAAGACCAGCCACCUACGGCCUCGAGCAGUCCGAUUUGUGGACAACAGAUACCGCCUUCGACUGGAAGCAGCAGUUAAUAAAUAGCUAGUAUAGUUUAGGGUUUAGACUCGGGUUUUAUUGUAUUGUUUAGCCAUCGCUACAAUUUCGCAUUUACGAGACGUGUAGGACUACCGCCUUGUCAGAUCCACAGUGGAACCCCAACUUUUCAUCUAGUUCGUGUGCUCAGUUUAUUAUCCGCAAUUUCAGUUGCAAUUCACCUUUGUUCUUGCCGGUUCUUCGGUUGCUUGCAGGAACUUGAACCUUGUUGUUCAGGUUGAUCGUGCCUACGGCAAGGUCAAUAACCAUCGGAGAUUGGUUUAGCGAUUGUCGAGGCGUAUCGUCGGGUACGGUAUAGCCGGAUCGUUAAGGUCAAAAUCCACCAAAUCGAUAAUUAUCCCCACUCUCAUCGAAAGAUCCGGCCGCCGUCACAUCAAGUGGUAUCAGUUUUCGGGUUCAUUGGUGAGAGAUUUACAGUUUUAGUAGAUUAAUUUCUUUUGUCCUAUAAACCCACGAAAAAGCAAAAAAAAAGUAUAGAUUAGUUCAUCCAUUACGCCUACCUUUUUUUAGCCUUUAGCAAUUUUUGCAUCUAGUACUUGUGUAGUUGAAUUUUUGGUUGCAUCCAUCCUAAAAUUAGUGCUGGUUUAGAUUAGUUUUGGGAGCAAAUCAUCUACUAGAUCGAACCUUGUUUUUGACCACCAUAUUUUCUGUCGCAAGUUCAGUCGUAAUUUGACCCCAAAAAAAAAAGAAAUAGAUAGCGAUCAGUGGUUUCCAAUUUCUGUUGACUCGGACGUCUGUAUCCCUUUGCUACAGUCUAUUUUUUAUCAGGCGCUGAUUCGCAUUGCAGAUCUCCGCACGUACAUCCACGCUUCAUCCAUACACGCUCGCGCGAGCUGCCAGACACCCAGGCACCUCGUCUCUGUUGCCGCGUGCCGCUUCACCAGAGGAAAACACGCUAGCCGCCAGACACCCCGCGCUGGUUGUCUGACUCCACGCGUGCCACCACAAAUCUCUAGUACUACUCCUAGCUUACUCACAACGCCCAAACACUUCUAGCUAGCUUGUUGCAAUUUGUUCAGCAAUUUUGCAUUUUUUUUCUUGAGGUUUACCUUGUGUCCGUGAUUUCUGCUAGCAACCGGCCUGAGUAAAAGAAAAAAAAGCGAAGCAAAAAAAAAGAAAAAAAAAUAGACAAAAAAAAUAUAGAAAAGAAGGGUUGCAACGUUCAGGCCGGCUAGCACUCUUGGUGCAAUCUCUUUUGACGUUCAGAAUUGUUCCUCUACUAUACACGUGAUACUUGCUGGACAUUUUCUUUUGUCGCUCUUGAUCGUCUUACGCUACGUUUAUACCUCACUUAUAUCUAGCUAUUUAGAGCUAUUAUAUUUUUAUCGGUUUCCCCUCCCUUGAUUCAGUAUCUAGGCUUAGAUUGUUUUAUCUCUUACUAGUCGACUGCCAGCACUAGUUAGGAGUUUGAGCAAUUAUUCAGCUUGCAUUACUUUUUGCUUAAUUGUGCCACAUAUUGUGAGUUGAGGAAACCUUCACCAAGCUCCACUUCCUUUAUCGUAUCUUGUUCGGUCCCUUGGUAAUCGCUAUAUCAAUCUUUUGAUCACUUUUGACAUCGCCAACGGCCGACAACCACUGCAGCACGGUAAGAACUGGUAAGAGCUUGGUAAUUGCUCGAGAGUUGAGAGACAUUUUCCACCGCCUCACUAUAGUUACUGUAGGAGCAAUAUACUUGUGAUUUUGUUCUUGUUCCGUCCUAACCAUGGCAGGUGACGAAGACAACAUGAAAGCCAUGGUGGCACGCCUUGAGGAGGAUGUGCAUGCAUACACCGAGCGGUUCAUAUCGUUCGAGGGCGCACUUGAUAAGCGUCUCAAGUCGAUCGAGGAUAGCAAUGAGACGUUCACCCAAACACUUGCAUCUAUUAUGAAACAUCUUGAUGCCCAGGAUGCCCGUCUAGGUGCCGCCUCCACUUCCGCUCCGCAUCUUCCAGCCACCAACACAGGUCUGCAACGAGCUCGUCGGGUACUCCCAGGAGACCCGGGGCACCCUCUUUCAUACACCGAUGCCGUCGACCAGCCCCGUCCUCGCAACGCCAACUCGAUAGCCGACGACAUCCAAGAUGACAACUAUGAUGGUGAUUCUGAGGAUCCUGAUGCAGUUAAUGAUAACAAUGAUCGUGAUCAUCGUCGACUACGCAAUAAUCAACAAGGUAUGGGACGACACCAGCGUCCUCAGGUACGUGGCCAUGGCGAUUCUUUGGGUAGAAUUAAAUUUGUCAUGCCUCCUUUUGAUGGGAAAUAUGAUCCAGAUAUUUAUCUUGACUGGGAAUUACUAGUUGAUCAAAAAUUUGCUUGCCAUGAUUUUCCUGAUGAUAAAAGAGUUAGGCCUGCAACUAGUGAGUUUAGUGAUUUUGCUUCUGUUUGGUGGAGAGCACAUUGUCGUAAACAUCCUAAUAAUAUUCCUGCCACUUGGGAAGCUUUGAAAUUAGUAAUGCGUCACCGUUUUGUUCCUGGAUAUUAUGAACGUGACUUACUAAAUAAACUACAAUGCUUGAACCAAUGAUCUAAAUCUGUGGAAGACUAUUAUCAAGAAUUGCAAAUGGGCAUGUUACGUUGUGGUUUAGUUGAGACUGAGGAAGCCGCUAUGGCUAGGUUCUUGGGUGGAUUGAAUAGAGAAAUUUAUGACAUACUUGCUUAUAAAGAUUAUUAUUCUAUGACCCGUUUAUUCCAUCUUGCUAUACAUGCUGAACAUGAAGUGCAGGGUCGUUCCAGACUGCGUCCUAAUUUUUCUGCAGGUCGUACUUCCACAUGGGCGUCGCGCACUCCUGCUGCCCCGUCCACUCGCACCUCUACAACAGCACCUGCAACCUCUCGACUGGCGCCUUCUUCAUCAACUUCAGCAUCACACACUUCGGCACCACUGAAAAGUACUACACAAAUUCCAACAAAAAGUUCAUCGUCAUCGUCCGCUUCCUCCAAAAGAACAAAGGAUAUCCAAUGCCACACUUGCAAGGGAUUUGGCCAUGUCAUGAAGGAGUGUCCUAAUAAGCGUGUAUUGAUCAUUCGUGAAGACGGCGAGUACGACUCUGCUAGUGAUUUUGAUGAAGACACAUAUGCCUUGCUUGCUACACAUGAAGACGAUGACACAAGACCGGAGCAAGAGGAAGAACAUGUGACCGCUGACGACGCCGAUAAGUACAUGAGUCUUAUAUCAUAUCGUGUACUUAGUGCUCAGAUUGUCAAAGCAAAGAAGGAUCAACGUCACAACCUUUUCCACAUCAAAGGAGUCGUCUAGGAGCGUUUCGUUCGCAUAAUCAUUGAUGGAGGGAGUUGUAACAAUUUAGCAAGCAUUGACAUGGUGGAGAAGCUCUCCCUACCUUCGCGACAACAUCCAUAACCAUACUACAUUCAAUGGUUUAAUGAUGGUGGAAAGGUAAAGGUAACACGCAUGGUGAGAGUUCCUUUUUCUUUAGGUUCAUACCAUGACACUAUUGAUUGCGAUAUUGUGCCUAUGCAAGCUUGUUCUAUGUUACUAGGAAGGCCAUGGCAAUAUGAUAAACAAUGUUUACAUGAUGGUAGAACUAAUCAGUACACUCUCACACAUAAAGGAAAGAAAAUCAUUCUACACCCUAUGUCUCCUGAGCAAAUUUUAAAAGAUGAUCUUGCUAGGGCUAGUAGAAACACAAAUAUUGAGCGUACUCAAUCUGAAAAUCAGAAAGUUGUUGAUGAGUUAGAACAAUUUAAUAAGCUGCACAAAUCUGAUCCUAGCACAUCUAAAGAAAUUAAAUUGAAAGGUGUAUCUUUCUUAGCUACACGUGCUGAAAUUUUGAGUUAGAUACUCAUACUGAUGAAUGUUAUGCUCUUAUUUGCAAAGAAGUUUUGUUUUCAUUUGAGGAUAUGCCUUCUUCUUUGCCUCCUGUUGUCGCUAACCUUUUGCAGGAGUAUCAUGAUGUUUUUCCAAAGGAAGUAUCACCGGGGCUGCCACCUAUGAGAGGAAUUGAACAUCAAAUUGACUUGAUCCCUGGCGCCUCAUUACCCAACUGUGCGCCGUACCGGACUAAUCCAGAGGAGACUAAGGAGAUUCAGCGACAAGUUCACGAACUACUUGAAAAAGGUUACAUUCGUGAAUCCCUUAGUCCAUGUGCUGUACCAAUUUUACUUGUUCCUAAAAAAGACGGUACUUCGCGUAUGUGUGUUGAUUGUAGAGCCAUCAAUAAUAUUACUAUUCGAUAUCGUCAUCCUAUUCCUAGAUUGGAUGACAUGCUUGAUGAACUCAGUGGCUCAGUUGUGUUUUCUAAAGUGGACUUGCGUAGUGGCUACCAUCAAAUUCGUAUGAAACUAGGUGAUGAAUGGAAAACUGCUUUCAAAACUAAAUUUGGUUUAUAUGAGUGGUUAGUUAUGCCUUUUGGAUUGACUAAUGCACCUAGUACUUUCAUGAGACUAAUGAAUGAAGUUUUGCGAGCUUUUAUUGGACGAUUUGUGGUAGUAUAUUUCGAUGAUAUUUUGAUUUAUAGCAAGUCACUAGAGGAACACUUAGACCAUUUGCGUGCUGUUUUUUCUGCUCUGCGUGCUGCACGUUUAUUUGGUAAUAUCGAGAAGUGCACUUUUUGCACGGAUCGAGUCGCUUUUCUUGGCUAUGUUGUGACAGCGCAGGGAAUUGAAGUUGAUAAAGCCAAGGUUGAAGCGAUCCAGAGUUGGCCGACCCCUAACUCGGUCACACAGGUACGAAGUUUUCUCGGACUUGCUGGGUUCUACCGGCGGUUCGUGAAAGAUUUUAGUACCAUCGCAGCGCCGCUCAACGAGCUCACAAAGAAAAAUGUGCCAUUUUUUUGGAGCGACGCGCAAGAGGAAGCCUUCACUAUUCUUAAAGAUAAGCUUACACACGCCCCUUUGCUGCAAUUACCUGAUUUUAAUAAGAUGUUUGAAUUAGAAUGUGAUGCUAGCGGCAUUGGUUUAGGUGGUGUUUUAUUGCAAGAAGGAAAACCAGUAGCAUACUUUAGUGAAAAGCUCAGUGGGCCUAGUCUGAAUUAUUCAACGUAUGAUAAAGAACUUUAUGCACUAGUUCGGACAUUGGAGACAUGGCAACAUUAUUUAUGGCCUAAGGAGUUUGUCAUACAUUCUGAUCAUGAAUCACUCAAGCAUAUUAGAAGUCAAAGCAAACUGAAUCGUAGACAUGCAAAAUGGGUUGAAUUUAUUGAAUCCUUUCCUUAUGUUAUUAAACACAAGAAAGGGAAGGAGAAUGUUAUUGCCGAUGCCUUGUCUAGACGCUAUACUAUGUUAUCACAACUUGACUUCAAAAUUUUUGGACUUGAAACUAUAAAAGAGCAAUACGCUAAUGAUGUUGACUUUAAAGAUAUAUUGCUCAAUUGCAGAGAGGGUAGAACUUGAAACAAGUUCGUCAUUAAUGACGGAUUUGUUUUUCACGCUAACAAGCUAUGCAUCCCAGAUAGCUCUAUUCGUCUUUUGUUGUUACAGGAGGCGCAUGGAGGAGGACUUAUGGGACAUUUUGGCGUCAAGAAGACAGAAGACAUCCUUGCUAGUCAUUUCUUCUGGCCAAAAAUGAGAAGGGAUGUGGAGAGAUAUGUUGCACGCUACACGACAUGCCAAAAAGCUAAGUCACGAUUGAACCCACAUGGUUUAUAUAUGCCUCUUCCUGUUCCUAGCACUCCUUGGAAAGAUAUAUAUAUAUGGACUUUGUACUAGGACUGCCUAGAAAACGACGGGGGAGAGAUAGUAUAUUUGUUGUUGUCGAUAGAUUCUCUAAGAUGGCACAUUUUAUACCUUGUCAUAAAAGUGACGAUGCUACUCACAUUGCUGAUUUGUUCUUUCGCGAAGUAGUUCGUUUACAUGGUGUGCCAAAUACAAUUGUUUCUGACCGUGACACAAAAUUCCUUAGCCACUUUUGGAGGGUGUUGUGGACAAAAUUGGGGACUAAGCUUUUAUUUAGUACUACAUGUCAUCCUCAAACUGAUGGUCAAACUGAAGUGGUUAAUCGUACAUUGUCUACUAUGCUUAGGGCUGUUUUGAAGAAGAACUUAAAAAUGUGGGAAGAAUGUCUACCACAUGUAGAGUUUUCUUAUAAUCGUUCCGUUCAUUCCACCACAAAAUUAUGCCCUUUUGAGAUUGUUUAUGGAUUUAUACCUCGUGCACCAAUUGAUUUAUUACCUAUUCCAUCUUCGGAGAAGGUAAACCUUGAUGCUAAAGAACGUGCUGAAUUAGUAUUAAAAAUGCAUGAGAUGACUAAGAAAAAUAUUGAACGCGUGAAUGCCAAAUAUAAACUUGCUGAUAGUCAGGGAAGGAAAAGUGUUGUUUUUGAACCAGGUGAUUUAGUAUGGUUGCAUUUGCGAAAAGACCGUUUCCCUGAUUUACGAAAGUCAAAAUUAAUGCCUCGUGCGGAUGGACCUUUUAAAGUGCUUGAAAAAAUUAACGAGAAUGCAUAUAAGCUUGAUUUACCUGCAGAAUUUCGGGUUAGUCCCACAUUUAAUGUUUCAGAUUUAAAGCCUUAUUUGGAUGAUGACGACGAGGUACCGUCGAGGACGACUUCGAUUCAAGAAGGGGGGGGAUGAUGAGGACAUCUCUUCUAUUGUUACACCCGCCGCAACUCCUACAUCAGUUAUUCCACUUGGUCCUAUUACUAGAGCGCGGGCGAGACAAAUUAAUGGCCAGGUACUAUCGCUUCUUUGUACAUAUGAUUUAACUAAUAAGAAUAUAAUAUUACACUCAUGUUUGGAUUUGCUUGUACUUGAGAAUAAAGGAAAGAUUAAAGAUGAAGACAAUAUGGGUUCAGAUCAAAUGGAGCAACGCUCUUGCAUGCAUGUCACACGUCCUAUCCACCAAGCAUGUCACGUACGCAUGCAUGAAGUGCACCAGGACAAGAGACUUGGAUUAAUGGCCCAACAUUACCACGUGGGUGGGCCCUAGAGCUUUCGGCCAAGCCGCCAGGUGCUUGCCGCAAAGUCUACGAAGACCAGCCACGUACGGCCUCGAGCAGUCCGAUUUGUGGACAACAGAUACCGCCUUCGACCGGAAGCAGCAGUUAAUAAAUAGCUAGUAUAGUUUAGGGUUUAGACUCGGGUUUUAUUGUAUUGUUUAGCCAUCGCUACAAUUUCGCAUCUACGAGACGUGUAGGACUACCGCCUUGUCAGAUCCACAGUGGAACCCCAACUUUUCAUCUAGUUCGUGUGCUCGGUUUAUUAUCCGCAAUUUCAGUUGCAAUUCACCUUUAUUCUUGCCGGUUCUUCGGUUGCUUGCAGGAACUUGAACCUCGUUGUUCAGGUUGAUCGUGCCUACGGCAAGGUCAAUAACCAUCGGAGAUUGGUUUAGCGAUUGUCGAGGCGUAUCAUCGGGUACGGUAUAGCCGGAUCGUCAAGGUCAAAAUCCACCAAAUCGAUAAUUAUCCCCACUCUCAUCGAAAGAUCGGGCCGCCGUCACAUCAGCCUUGAGAAGACACAACUUGCAGAUUGGAAGAAACACGUUGUCAGCUCCAUGGGCUGCGGCCAAAACAGAUACACCCUUCUCCAUCUCCGAAAGGGGCUCCCUGCCCCCUCGCCUGGCUCGAGGCGCCGAUCCGUCGGAAGAUGGAAAUGCUCUCCCUAGAGCUAGGAUGAUUAACCGCCACCGAAGCCACCGGGAAGACCAAACCAGAGCGCCGCCAACAUGCAGCGCCGGGCUCAACAAGGAGAACCUUGGCACUGAGAGGAACUGCACACGAGGAGAAGCAAAUGCACGGCGCGAGACUGUUGAUGACAAAGCUGCAAUGGAGGAAGCCUAAACAGCCUCCAACCACGUAGCCGCCGAAUGCCUACCAACGGAGCAGACUCGCCAUCGCCCCAAAACUCACCCAAGGCGGCACCUUCAUGAAGGAGACGGCGCCACGGGCGUCGCUGCCGCCCAAUCCUGAUGGAUUUUGGCUUUCGCCCGAAAACGAGCAGGGAAGAAAGGCAAAAGGGGGAGGGAAGUACCAAAACGGCGCCUACAUGUAGGGGACGGCGCCCGCGGGCGUCGCCGCCGUCAUGGCCGGCUGAGUCGGCCUGGAUUUCUCCGGGUACUCCACCGCCCCCAGCCCCAGCUUCAAACACGGCGCCAUCAGCCAGGGACGACCGAAGACCGGAUCUGAGAGGGGAUCUGAGCGUUGGAGGCGAAGGCGUCAGAUCCGGACGGGGGGCCCCGCAGCCCGGCGUCCAGCAGCCUCCACCCGCCGCCACCUUGCCGCCCGAGCGGCCAAGGCAGCCGGCCAGCACCCGCGGCCGCCGCUGGCUGAAAACGGCGUCGCGCCACCACCCGAGGCCGCCGCCUCGGCUCCAGAGCCCCCCGCGCGCGACGGAGCAGGCAGAUCCUCGCCGCCAUCUUCCUCGGCGGGCGCGCGGCUUGCCGGCGACCCCCUCCGGCGGCGACGAGGUAGAGGGGAAGGGGAGGGGGCCCGGCGGCGGCUAGGGUUGGCGCCGCCCAAGUCGCCCCUGCGGGAGCGACNNNNNNNNNNNNNNNNNNNNNNNNNNNNNNNNNNNNNNNNNNNNNNNNNNNNNNNNNNNNNNNNNNNNNNNNNNNNNNNNNNNNNNNNNNNNNNNNNNNNNNNNNNNNNNNNNNNNNNNNNNNNNNNNNNNNNNNNNNNNNNNNNNNNNNNNNNNNNNNNNNNNNNNNNNNNNNNNNNNNNNNNNNNNNNNNNNNNNNNNNNNNNNNNNNNNNNNNNNNNNNNNNNNNNNNNNNNNNNNNNNNNNNNNNNNNNNNNNNNNNNNNNNNNNNNNNNNNNNNNNNNNNNNNNNNNNNNNNNNNNNNNNNNNNNNNNNNNNNNNNNNNNNNNAGUCUGAUAGUCAACUGAUGUUCCAGCUGGGACCGGAAGCGGAAGGAGUCCAAGAAAAUAGUAUUUGACUUUUGAUCAACUCCAUGGCGAAGAACUGAUUGUCGGCGACGGCCUCUGGUCCUCUGGAAAUGACGUUGUAGCUUGCUCCAAUAUCACGGGAGGAUUGAAUUGGAAGAGACAGUCUUGGCCCAACCGUUAAUUCUGCCUGAAAGAUUGCAGAGGUGUCGGUGUCAUCAUCACCGACUCUUUCGAAUUGAUUCAACUCAUUAAACUGUCUAGCUAGCAUCGAGGUUAAAUGGAAACACGCACCAGGAUAUUGUGGCGUCUCUUGCAGUUGUCAUGCCACCCCUCCUGAGUACUCCAUUUGUAUCUUCCUGCACCUCCAGCUGAACCUGAAUGCAUAUACAAUACCGAGAACUAGUUCAUUCCAUCAGUCUGAGAUGUAGCAGCCAGGAACUGUAAAUAUAUGUGCAAAUAGGGGUACGUGUAAAUAUAUGUGUUCACAGGCGUGAAAACAUUGCCAGGAACUGUAAGUACUGAAAAUGUAACAUGAUGGCUACAUAAACAAAACGAGAUGUGGCGUGUUGUGCUGACCACAUUGAAGUAUGAUCUCUUCUGAGUCGCCUCCUUAAAUCCAAGUGUCUGGCUGCCUGCUAUGCCCAUAUAUAAUCAGGUGCGGCUUAAAAAUGCGUGGGCUUGUGGUGGAACUGAAAGGAAACUAAAUCGAGCCAACACAAAAAAGAAACAGAGCAAGAUUUGAGCCGUACCUGCAGAGUGUAGCUUGUGGUAGAACUGGCAGGAUUCAGUCAGCAUGAAUUGUAAGUGUAGAGCAGGUCAUCUUGGCUGUUUCAAAAAACCGGACAGAGUUCAGAUUAAUUAGCACAUCGCACUCCAUAGCUUCUAUGUACUACUAGUUGAACGAAAGAGAAUCAAUUAGAUGACCUGAGGUUUCUCGUCACUACCGCUGCUUCAGGCUCAGCAUGGGGAGAUGACGAUUCCUCCGUUGCUUCCUCCACUUGGAUAACAACACCCCCCGGGUCGUGAUGGCUCCGUUCCUUGGACAGUCGCAGCACGGGACUGUUGGGGUGUGCGUCCACUUCACUUUGCAGCAUACCAAGCUUCGCCACUCGACCAUAGGAACCAAGUGAGAUCUCCUUGAGCUUUAGAAGCUGGUUGACUCCAAUAAUUCCUGAUGCCAAGUUGCACCAACGGAUAUGUAUCAUUGCCAGCUGGGGUGAGGUGCCAUCCUCAAAUUUGACCUCUCUCAGUUCCGCCAGACAAAUAUCAAGUUUCUUGAGAUUCAGGAAUGCUCCCGUUUUGAACGCCAACUUCUCCCCAAUAUAAGAGCCGCUUCCAAGACGAAGGUGCAUGAGGUUGGGAGGUGGCCCUAGUAUUUCCAUGACUUUACCUUCUUCCUUUAUUGCGCUGCCCCUUAAGUAAAGCUUGACCAAAUGCAUCAGACUGCCAACCCAGCCAGGAAUCUCUCCAAGGGUUCCCUCCAACUUCAGACUCCUCAACAGGGGAGGAGGAGAGUUGACAACAUGCAGCCACUCGAGUGAACCAUCGACAACAAGGGAGCGGAGGCAAGUGAGCUUCUGAAUGGCAUCACAGAGUAUCCUGCAUUUCUGCUUGGUAGCCCCUUUUGUAACCACCCUCAGUUUUCUCAGCUGCACAAGCUCACCUAGCUCUUUAAUUGCUUUGCAGCUAGUUCGUCUGAUGUCCACGACUUCUAGUAUUUGCAGCUCUUUCAGUUUGCUGAUUCCUCUGGCACCCUCACACCAAUUGACCCUGACCAACGGCUAGACCAGGCCAUGUGUAGCUCAGCAACUUUCUUGGUACGCUUACUAGGAUCAACCAAAGGUGUGCACAACAUGGGCAGACAAAGUGUUUCCAGCAAGCAUUCCUUGGGGUCAUACAGCUUAAAGUGUGCGUACCAAUUCCUUCUGGUACAACGGAGACUGUGCAGACUCUUGAGUUUACUAAUCUCAGUUGGCAGUCCUGUAAUAUAACUGUUUGUAAUGUUCAAAGUACGCAAGCCCUUUAAUUUUCCAAUGGAUAUAGGAAGCUUAUAAAUAUGUGAAUACCGUUGAGGAUCAGAAAAAUUCACAUACUUCAAGUGGCGCAACAAUCCUAUGUUGCUGAUAUCCUUUUGUGUGACCUGAAACUGUGCAUUCUCUAGAUCCAAGGCUCUGAGCAUUCUUAUAUCAGGUGAACAAACCGAAGAUGAUGGCUCCAAUGGUCUCUCACCAAACAUGGUUAAUGACCGGACAUGGUUCCAGUCCAUGCCUAUACUUUGGCACUCGCUACCAUGGUAUGCUACAUGGCGAAAGGUCUCCUCUCUGACACUAGUCACAUUAUCUUGUGCCAAGUAAACAAAAUUUUCACCCCUAGAAAUCGAGAUCAUGACAUCACGCACAACAUCAUGGACUCUACAGCUCUUAACAAUUCCUUCUAUGUUCACUCUUGAGGGCUGAAUCAUGCUUCGGUUGAUUAGCUCGGUGAAAUAACUUAUUCCAACAUCUUCGAUGUUUACUCCACCUCUGGCUCUAACAAACCCCUCUGCUAUCAGACGUCUCCUUUUGAUCUCAAAAUCCUCAGGAAAGAUGCUUAGAUACAAAAAGCAUGACUUCAGAUGAGAUGGUAAGUGAUUGUUUUUUUUUUUCGAAAAGGAGGAUGACCCCCGGCCUCUGCAUCUGGAAGAUGCAUACGGCCACUUUAUUAAUUAUUCUCGAGGACCUUACAAAGUAUUACAAACAAUAUAUCUGAAUCCACCAUCUUGGCAACAAAUGCCGCUACUCUUAUCCAUAUGAUGAAGGGAUGCUAGCUGGGCCACUACCCAAACCACUCACCUAAACCUAACAUCAAAAGCCGGAAGCCCCAGCCGAGCCACAUACCGGGUCUGGGGCACAAUCCGGUCAGACACACUCUUGUGUCGUCGCCGCCAUCUUCCACAAGUCCGUCUUCAGAUUAUAUUGAGUCUUCUACUUUGUGAAGGCCACUCCUGCCAUCGACGUCACCAUGACGCCAGAUAGCUACCUCCUCCUGCGCGAGUCCAUCUCCGCGCAUCGGACGCCGAGCCUCGACAGCGCCAUGCCGCCGAUCUCCGCCGCCAUCAAUGAGUGAGAUGAAGAACCGCUCCACCACGGCAAGUACAAGGUGAGGAAGGGCGAGGUCGCCAUCGAAAACACGGCUGGAAGAUAAGCAUCGCAGUCACGAGACAAGCCCGGAGCAGCGACGCGGUAGAUCAGACAGGCCGCCACCAGGAACCAGAUAAACUCGCCAUGCACACCCAGCAUCCCCAUGCCCAAGUCGGCGCCUUCAAGAAGGUGACGAUGCUGUGGCGCCGCCGCCGCUUAGCCACCAGGGCUAGGGUUUUCACCCGGACGCAGGGGAAGGGGAGCAGCAGGGGAGGUUUAGCCUCGGCGCCGCCACCAAGGAGGGAAUGGUGUCCGGGACGCCAUCGACGCCGUGACCGCCACCGGCGGCCAAGGGUUUCCCCCGGCUAAGCACCCUGCCGCCACCUCCGAACCAGACACAACAUCAGCAGGCGCGUGCACGCCGGAGAUCCAAGCUGGCCGGAGGUCGUGCAACUCGAGCGGACCAGAUCGCCUCCGAUCUGACGAGGGGAGCCCGGGGCCUCCCCGCACCAUGACCAGCGCCCACCGGGACCUCGCUGCCGGCGCAACCGAGGAGAUCCGGUCUACCACACCGACGAGCACUCCCCAUCGCCGGAGGAGCACCGUCCGUCCCCGCGAGGCCGCCGCCUCAGAUCAGCCGGCGCGGAUCUGACCAGAACAUGACGGCCCUCUUCUUGCAGCUCCGUGCCCGCGUGCCAAGCCGCACGUCGACCAGGAAGCCGAAGCCAGGCGCGUCAGAUCGGCCAGAUCCGGGCACCAACACCAUGGGCGAUGCGCAGGCGACCAAGAGACCACUCGCCGUGUCCGAGAGCCCCCCAGCGCCAGCGUAGAAAAGGUCCCCGCCGCCACCGUCGACCGCGAGGCUUCGCCUUGCGGCGUCCUCCGGUGGCGACGGAGAGGACAGACGGGAUGCCGCCGCCGCCGGCGGCUAGGGCUGGGGCGUCCGCCCGUGUCGCUCGCACGGGAGCGACGCGGGGGCGUUUCUGUUAAACAAUGCGUUUCUGUUUUCUGUUCUCCCUUAAAAUGGGAGAGAAUUUCACUUCCCGGCCUCUGCACCAACUAGGGAUGCAUACGGCCAUUUUAGUAUGAGUACCAAGAUAUACAUGGUCCUCAGAUAUUUUUAAAUGAGUAUCAAGAUAUUUCUUGAUGAGUGGUUUCACCACACACCAAACUUGAUCCUCAAUAAACGGGGGAAAACCCCCGUGCAUCACCUGUCAAUUCUAGGAAUUGAACUCGGGUCGUUAGGCUGCACAACCGCAUGCCCAACCACUGAGCCAAGGCUCUCUUUGCAUAAAAAAUGGGGAGAUUUUCACUUCCCGGCCUCUGCACCAACUAAGGAUGCAUACGGCCAUUUUAGUAUGAGUACCAAGAUAAACAUGGUCCUCAGAUUUUUUUUUAAAUGAGUAUCAAGAUAUUUCUUGAUGAUUGGUUCCACCACACAUCAAGCUUGAUCCUCAAUAAACGGGGAAAAACCCCUGUGCAUCACCUGUCAAUUCCAGGAAUUGAACUCGGGUCGUUGGGUUGCACAACCACAGACCCAACCAUUGAGCCAAGGCUCUCUCUGCAUGGUAAGUGAUUGUAGCUUAGAGUAACUAUCCUUCUCAUUGCUUCAAGGCUAGGGUUGACCUCGAGCUCUGAGGGGAUUUGAUUAUAUAUACUUUCCCACUCUGUAACCUUUUUGGUGGAAAGCAUGGCUCCUAUAGUGAGUACAGCCAACGGUAGACCCCCACACUUCUUUACUAUUCUCUUGACCACAGUCAUCAUUUCCUUAUCAUUUUUCAUGUCUUCAUGUGUUUUCCUACUCUUUCUUAGUAGCAAAUGUGUGGCAUCCUCGAUUUGCAAGUGCUUAAGGUGGUAGAUAAGAGAAUCAGAAGUGCAUUGCUCAGCCAAGCCAGCAUCUCGCGUUGUUACUAUUAUUCGGCUGCCUUUGUUGUUUCUACUAGGAAAAGCAAUAUCUUGGAUCCACUUGCAUGCAUCUAUGGUCCACAAGUCAUCAAGAACAACAAAGUACCUCUUAUCCACUAACUCCUUUUUGAGAUACUCAGAAAGAUUUUCUAUUCGCACUUCCUUCCCUUCAAGAUCUUUCAAGCAUUUCAAAAGUGACUUGUUACCCAAAAGUUGCCUAAUCAUGUCCUUGAGCAUCUCUAUCUUGGAAAAGGACUGUGAUACCGUGACCCAAGCACAACAAGAAAAUUUAUUCGCAAUGUCUUCCUUACUUUCAUAAGCCUUCCUUGCAAGAGUAGUCUUGCCUAAACCGCCCAUGCCAACGACACAUAUCACCUUGCAAAGACCAUCACUGGAGUUGACAUCCACCAUCGCAAUCAACUCUUGUUUAGCCUUAGCAAAGCCCACAAGCUCUGCCUCAUCAAUGUUGCUAGCUGAGUGGGUGCGAAUAUCUUCCGUGUAGGAAUUCACCUCAUCAAUGCUGCUGGAGGCAUCAGCGGUGAUCAAGUUAUAGCGUGUGUUCCUGUUGCUCACUUCUUCAACUCUUGCUUUGAGAUCACGGAUUUGGCUGGCAAUCCGAUGGCGGUCUUUCAGCUUGAGCAGCCGUCGAGACCGGCUGUGGCUUCCCACAUGCACCAUAAAUUCAUCAAGGCAAUCCUCAAUACCAUAGGCUAGGUCCCUCACUUGCUUAGCCCACACCUGCAGUAGCCUGUUAUUUUCCUUGGUUGCUUCGGCGGUCACCAGAAACGCAUGCAUCGUCUCUAGCUCGUCUUUCAUAAACCUGCCCAACAAAUUAAGUUCAUUAGAACAACUCUACAGCUGGUGAGAACACAUGCAACAGAGCAGAGCAGACAUAAGUUAGUCAUAUUUCUUCCUUUAUUAUCAGGAAAUGAAGCAUGCAAGUAUGCAACAGAGCAGAACACAUGCAACGUCUAUGAGGCGAGAGCACACAUCACAAACAAAAAGACCAACAAAGGAUGCAUAAGGAUUUGAUUAUUUUUCUGGUCCCAUAUACUUCUUUUUGAGGGAUUGUUAAAACCUUUUUUUGUCGCCUCUCAAAUCGUAACUUAUGUGUGCUGAUGGAUGCAUGAUUUGUCAUUCCCAGAAACAAGAAGGGCUGAGCAAUUUCUACCAGAAUAUAUACUAGCUAACCAUAGAGAAAAAAGGUAUUACGGGAAAUGAGAUCGGUAACAAGUAGCAACUUCCUGUGCGGUGAAUGGAUCCAAGGAAACAGAGCAGGGCAGAGAAGAGUAGUGAGUGUGUGGGUGAUUUGGCAUACCAGAUGUCCUUGCGGACGCCCAUGAGAAGGCUCAUCUCGGUGGCCGCGGCGGAGGCGGCCACGCUGAUGACAGCGCCCAGCAUGGAUCUCGCCAUGCUCACCACCGUGCUCGCCAUGAUCUCCGGCCGGCGUUGCUAUCUCCGGCACACUGCAGAGUCGAGUGCGCUGGAUCGGAGAGGGGAAGAGAAGAGAUAGCUACGAGCGUUUACUUGACUCUCGACCUCUCCGGUCUCCCCCGCUCCUGAUCCAAUAAUUGAAUCGCACUGCAUUCCCAUUCCAUUGAGCCGACAAUAUACUCAGUAGCCACUGCUGCAAAAUAGUGCUCCCAUUGGGGCUCGUGCAUGGACUGGACGGGCAGCAACAGUGAGUGCACUAGUGCAGUUGCUCAGUCAGUCCCACGCGGUGCCUUGCAUUUCCAGCUAAUUGCAGACUAUGUUUUGAUUCCUUCUCUUUCUUUUUUUUCCGAUAAAGAACGAUUUUAUUAUCUCAAAAUGUAGCAUCAAGGGAUACAAAGCAUUAAGAGUAACAUCCGGUCUCUGCAUAACUAAGAUGCACACAGCCAAAAUCAAAAGUCUAACAAAAAAAAAUCA